AGCAGGGCCCUCUUCUCUUCUGCUUCUCCGCCUCCCCGACUCUCGUGGAUAUUGGAUUGAUCGCGGUAUCGCUUGUCAACGAGCUGCGAAUCUGUGAUCUUCUCGAUUGAAUUCGUAGACAAUUAAGAUGGUUUGGAAGGUGAGCAUUGCGUCUGGCUGAUUUCAUUGAUUGUUUGAUCUCGAGCUCUGCGCUGUAGGUUGUCUUGAAAGUGGACUCUUGCAACAAAUGCAAGGGCAAGAUUAUGUCUCAGAUCUAUGACGGCGUCUCCGGUGAGUGUAGAUUUCCGCGAAUUCUCCCAAAUUUCGAUGCUGUGAUCGCUGAUCAAGAUAUCUUCGUGCUCUUGCAGGUGUGAAGAAAGUGGAGGUUAAAGAUCCCCUUUACACCUUCACAGGUGAUUUCAAGGUGGACGACAUCCUCAAGGCCAUCGAGAAGAAACGGAAGUGUAUAUCUGUGGAAUCCUUCCAGGAGAUAAAGGUGGAAAAGCCCAAGCCGAAGCCAAAGGACGAUUGCUGCUGCUGCUGCUGCUGCUCCUGCUGCUAGAAUUUGGGACUGAUCACUGAUCAUAAAGAGUUUUGUUGUGGAUGAGAUGAUCGAUCUCUCCUCUCUGUUUCCUUAACGUAGAGCACCAGAUCAUUCCGUUUCUUUCACCAAAUUUUUUGUUGCAAUAGGAUUGAGAUUGUCGAUCUAACAUCCGGGGCACGCGAGUGCUACGUUGAAAUGGUCCUCCCAUCUUUGCGUUUAAAUUUCAAGUCUGUUGACAAACGAAGUCUGCAUGAAAUAAUCAUUUGGGGGAAUCGUUGAAGCUUCACAAAAAAUAAUUCAAGUUGCUGUAGAUUUGCUGGCUAUAGGCCAGGUAGACGACGUGUGUGAACGUCAUGCUCGUUUCAAGUCAAGUCCCCGUUCAUGAGCACAUCGACUUUUGUGUUAUCUUUGUCCAGUGGCAGUACAAUGAUUAUAUAUUUAUGUGAUUGUCGGGAUAUAAAACCAUGCCCGUCCCAGAUAUCCCACUGAAAACAACCUUCUAGGCUCCAUCAGUGGCAGUGUCACUGGAGAUUCUAGCAUUUCUAAUAGUGAGUAGCUGUGCUUACAGAAAGAUUUGCACGAGAGGUGAAGAGAGAUUUUUCUUGGCUCAGUAGUGAGAGAUAAUAUAAACCACCUGAUAGAAGGUAAGGUAGCCAUGGUCAUUUAGUUUUAUAGUGAAACUGACAUCCUUGUUUCUUUUUUCUUUUCAUGGUCUAUCCAAUUUAUAAAUAGAAGUUUAGAGUAUCCAAUGGUGGCAUACACAAUUGUGAAAAUGAGGGUGUGGACAGGAUUGGUGUCUAGUUUGGGGGCAACAUGGUUAAAAACCUUUGGUGCUGUUAUGUAAANNNNNNNNNNNNNNNNNNNNNNNNNNNNNNNNNNNNNNNNNNNNNNNNNNNNNNNNNNNNNNNNNNNNNNNNNNNNNNNNNNNNNNNNNNNNNNNNNNNNNNNNNNNNNNNNNNNNNNNNNNNNNNNNNNNNNNNNNNNNNNNNNNNNNNNNNNNNNNNNNNNNNNNNNNNNNNNNNNNNNNNNNNNNNNNNNNNNNNNNNNNNNNNNNNNNNNNNNNNNNNNNNNNNNNNNNNNNNNNNNNNNNNNNNNNNNNNNNNNNNNNNNNNNNNNNNNNNNNNNNNNNNNNNNNNNNNNNNNNNNNNNNNNNNNNNNNNNNNNNNNNNNNNNNNNNNNNNNNNNNNNNNNNNNNNNNNNNNNNNNNNNNNNNNNNNNNNNNNNNNNNNNNNNNNNNNNNNNNNNNNNNNNNNNNNNNNNNNNNNNNNNNNNNNNNNNNNNNNNNNNNNNNNNNNNNNNNNNNNNNNNNNNNNNNNNNNNNNNNNNNNNNNNNNNNNNNNNNNNNNNNNNNNNNNNNNNNNNNNNNNNNNNNNNNNNNNNNNNNNNNNNNNNNNNNNNNNNNNNNNNNNNNNNNNNNNNNNNNNNNNNNNNNNNNNNNNNNNNNNNNNNNNNNNNNNNNNNNNNNNNNNNNNNNNNNNNNNNNNNNNNNNNNNNNNNNNNNNNNNNNNNNNNNNNNNNNNNNNNNNNNNNNNNNNNNNNNNNNNNNNNNNNNNNNNNNNNNNNNNNNNNNNNNNNNNNNNNNNNNNNNNNNNNNNNNNNNNNNNNNNNNNNNNNNNNNNNNNNNNNNNNNNNNNNNNNNNNNNNNNNNNNNNNNNNNNNNNNNNNNNNNNNNNNNNNNNNNNNNNNNNNNNNNNNNNNNNNNNNNNNNNNNNNNNNNNNNNNNNNNNNNNNNNNNNNNNNNNNNNNNNNNNNNNNNNNNNNNNNNNNNNNNNNNNNNNNNNNNNNNNNNNNNNNNNNNNNNNNNNNNNNNNNNNNNNNNNNNNNNNNNNNNNNNNNNNNNNNNNNNNNNNNNNNNNNNNNNNNNNNNNNNNNNNNNNNNNNNNNNNNNNNNNNNNNNNNNNNNNNNNNNNNNNNNNNNNNNNNNNNNNNNNNNNNNNNNNNNNNNNNNNNNNNNNNNNNNNNNNNNNNNNNNNNNNNNNNNNNNNNNNNNNNNNNNNNNNNNNNNNNNNNNNNNNNNNNNNNNNNNNNNNNNNNNNNNNNNNNNNNNNNNNNNNNNNNNNNNNNNNNNNNNNNNNNNNNNNNNNNNNNNNNNNNNNNNNNNNNNNNNNNNNNNNNNNNNNNNNNNNNNNNNNNNNNNNNNNNNNNNNNNNNNNNNNNNNNNNNNNNNNNNNNNNNNNNNNNNNNNNNNNNNNNNNNNNNNNNNNNNNNNNNNNNUUUCUUACUAUAAAUAUCCAUAUCCAUUAGAUGAAUCAUUUUAAGCAUCUUGCAAUGAUUUAGAGAAAUGUUCUUUAAGGUUUAGCCACAAUGCUUGGCUUGAGUCUUAAUGCUUUUCUUUAUACUAAAUGGAAUGCUCCAUUUUAAAAGUUAAUUUAUAACCAAUUGAUGCUUUAAAAUCACGUUCAUAAUAAUAAUUAUAAAGUGAUAGUAAUUCAUAAUUUAUAUUUUACUAUAGACAACAGUUACUACGUCAUGGCAAAGAUGCAUGAUGUCUAAUAGGAUCACUAAUGAAAAACAAUUUUAUCAGCAUGUUUGUUGGAAUUAAACUCAUUGUUCAUAUGCCUCUUGUAAAUAUCAAAUGGAUAUAUAUAUAUAUAUAUAUACACACAUAGAUAGAUAGAUAUAGACACACUUUGUGUGACUGUAUGAAUAUAAAACUCUAUAGAUACUAAAGAUCCCAUUGAAAAUAAUUUCAUUCCCUUUCAGCAAUGUUAUUGUCAUUAACGAAUCUAACCCACAUAAUCAAAGUAUGCCAUUUAGUAAUUAGGCUUAUUAAAAGAAUGACAAGAGGUAAAACAUAUUCAGUUUAGAAUGAAGAAUGGUAGUAAAUUAAAUUUUUCUUGUCUUAGUAAGUUUUAUUAUAGUAGUAUAUAAGAUUGUAUAUAGAAAAGAUUUAGUUAUCAUUUUGGGUAGAUUAUUUAAUUAAAAAUUUUAGGUUUUUAGAAAUUAUUUUUUAAAGUAAUAUUUCUAUGAAAAAACUUAAUUUCUAUUUUAGGAAGUGAAGCUUGCCAAAAAAGAGCCGUAAAAAUAAGGAUGUGGAUAGGAUUAGUAUUUAGUCUAAUAGUAGCAUGUUUUUGGACAAAACUUUUUAUGUAUUGUUAUGUGGAUGGUAAUCAAACAUCCUUGUAGCUCAUAGAAAAAUUAAAAAAUUAUAAUUUUAUACUUUGUGGCCAAGAAAAAAAAGAAAAACUAAUUGUCUAUAACAAAAAAAGAAGUUUUUAACUAACCUAUAAGCUCUUGAAUUUGGACUUCUUGGAGGGUCACUCAACUCAAUAUCACUUAAACUUAUAAAUUUUUAACAUUAAAUAUUCCAAGACCAUUAACUAAUUAAAAAAGAAGAUGCACUUUUAUUUAUGAGCCUUUUUUCUUUGAACCUUUAUAAAUUGUUCUCUUUGGUUGCUUAUACAACCUAGAUAGAUUAAGUUUAUACAAAUGCAAAACUAAAUCUACAUACAAAUAUAAUUUGGUUAGAAGCUAAGAAUAUGUUUCCUUUUUUUAGAUUUAUAAUGAUGAAAUGUUGGAAGUUUGUAAAAAUAUGUUUAGCACUAUAGUAAAGGAUUUCUCUUCUUUAUUAGUUAUCUAGUGAUCACUUCCCACAAGUGGCAUAAGGAUUGAAGAGAAAUCUAUGGCAUAAGUAGUUGGUUAGUAAAUUUUCUUUAUUACAAGUACUAAAAAGAGUUUUGAUCAAUUUGUUAGGACAAGAUUUGCAAGUGAGAAAAAAUUGAAAGUUUUGGGGUUAUUUUACAAAGAAAAUUGCUAUCCAAAAGGCCCAUAAGGGGCAUUGCCUUGUUGGAUUAAUAAUAGAAAGUGCCAAUAUAAGGAUGAUAUGAAUAGUUAAUAAAGUUUGGAUAAAUGAUUUGUAAAGAAUAUAAUUGACUUUUUCUAGACCGUGAUUACAAAAAAAUUAGAAAAAAUAGAGAAUUUUAAGAGCAUAAAAUCAUAACUAUUGGAUUGGAGAAUAUUCUAGAGUAUAUUUAGAAUAUUCUUUAUACUUAACUCUUAAGUAAAAUAUAUCUAAAUUUCUAAUUCCAAUUAAAUAACUAUUCUAAUAUUUAUAGGCCUUUUUCCCUUUAUAUUUCAGCCCUUACAGAUCAUUUUCAAUUUAUUCUCUUUUAUUGCUCACAAUCUAUCAUGUUUCUCUAUAAGUUCAUGCCUUUAUGAAUAAAAGCUAAGAGCUGUAACUCUCCCAAAAAUCUUGCUCUCUUGACACCUUACCUUUCAAGUCUAGCAUAGCAAAAUAAAACUAGACUGCCAAAUGUUAAUCUUAAUAUGUGUUAUGAUUCCCUUAAUUAAAAAAAAGAGUCAAACUUGAGAUUUUUUUAAUAUCAUUCAUAAAACAUAAAUCCCUAAGUCCCAAAAUUGAACUAAAUGUGUACCACAUAAUAGUGGCUAGAAUGAAAGUGGAACAAAUGUAACACAUUUAAACCAAANNNNNNNNNNNNNNNNNNNNNNNNNNNNNNNNNNNNNNNNNNNNNNNNNNNNNNNNNNNNNNNNNNNNNNNNNNNNNNNNNNNNNNNNNNNNNNNNNNNNAAACUCCUAAAAAGCUUUAAGAAUGAAUACAAAAGAUUAACAAACGAGUUUCUAGAAAGAGAUAAGUUUAAGAUUAAGUUUGAGUUUGAGUUCAAGGGGUGAAAGCUUAAAGCAAUUGUCUCUUAGACCUUAAGGGGUUUGGUAAGUCCUUACUAUAAGCCAUAAAUUUUCCUUUCUAAUUUGUCAUUUUAUUUUAUCUAUUUAACCAUUUUUGCCUUGACCUUAGUUAAGUUCCUUUGCAAAGAUUCCCAUCAUCGUACUAAUUCCAGUUUAGUCUUAUUUAGGUUCAGCUACUUACUAUAUGAACAACAGAGUGUUAGCUAACCUUUUACAAAUUCUCAAAUUCUUUUUUGAUCCCCUUCCCCAAGUUAGAUUGAGCUUAAGAUUCAAUUACACUCCUUAUAAGUAACCAAGCAAGCAACCAAACACACCAAGUGUAUAGAUUCUUAACAUCUUAUGGUAUGCAAUACUUGUUUAUAAGACUUUCUAAAUCCCAAGCUUUGGGUGCAUCUCUUAGUUCAAGACACCGAGGGGAAACACUUGGCCUAAUGGCCCAAUAUAGGUACCUCAACUCCCUACUUGGGAAGGCCAAAGUGUAGGGAAAGCCCCUACACUCCACUUGAGUCAAGAGUACUAAAGUUAUUAACCUUUAGUUUCAACCUUAACUUUGUUUGAAAGCACUAUUAGAGAGUUCUUUAAAGAUUAAGUUCUUAGCCUCUCUUUCCCUAUUUUACUUUUGAAACCCCUUGGGGGACAAUUGUUUUAAGCUUUCACCCCACAACUUAUAUUAGUACUUUGAUUUGGUCUCAGACCUGAUCUUAGAUUUUAGACUCAAUCUCAGUCUUAGACUCAAUUUUAAAUUUGAUCUCAAAUUCUUUAUUGUUUUGAUCAUGAUUUUGGGGGAUCCUCUAGCCUAUGACACUUUAGUAAAUUAGUUCUUUACACUUUUGGGAUAGUAAAGAGAGGAUUUCAAAGGAACUAGUGUGGCCAAAAAAGGCUUGUGUGACUAAAGAAAGCUAUGCUUACGUGGUGGGUGAUGAUAUAAACAUUAGGGAAUCCAAAGUUAAAGUGAACAUGGAUGAAUAAGUGGGGUGACUUGGUAAAGUAUUCAAGAGCUAGCUAUAACUUCCAAAAGAUCAAAUAAUUUAAUCCAAGUGUAAAUAACAUUACUUACUUAGAUACCUUGUAUGGCUUCAUUUUAACCACAUAUCUAAGGCACCCUAGUGGCAAAAAGUGGGGAAAGUAUCCACAAAGCUCACAAUAAACUGUGGUGUUUCAAAACAUCACCCCAAAGUUUUUAAUGAUGAAAAAAAAGAGGGGCCCUCUUACUUACUAACUAAAGGUAUAAUUAUGUGAUAAAGAAAUUUUAGAGGCUAGUGGGAUGGGCUUUUAGGCCUUAACCUAGUGGUAAUAUUGCCAAGCACUACUAUGGAUGGAGAGGGAUUUGGUGGAGAUUAAAAAAAGGAUAUUAAAGGAUAUGUGUUAAUGCAUUUUAAAAAUGUUAAGAUGUGGUAAUAAAAUUACCAUUCAUGGACAGAUGGCCUAGUCUUAGAGAGAUAGGACCAUGGUACAUAUGGUCUUUGACUACUAAUGAGAUCAUGAGAAUGGAUAUAUCUUUAAUAUAAAAGGUUAGUAAGUCAAUGGUAUCUAAAAUGGGAUUAAACAUAUAGAACACUUCAACAAAGUGUGAAGUCAAUAUGGCUUUGAGAUCAUAUCUAAGGGGUUAGUAAAACGUAGGAUGAGGAUCUAUGGAGGUUGGGAAUGAGAUUUCUUUAAUUGGUUUAAAGUGUGGUUAAAGAACUAAAGUAUAUUGAAAAAUUUAGUCACUUAAAAUUUUUUAGGUAAUUUUCCUUUAAUUGUUUUGCAUAGCAAAUUGGAGAUCAAAACAACUCAAGCCACUGAUCCAUUUGUUCAAAAAGUGUAACGAUUGAUCUUUUUCAAUAUUUUCUACACUAAUAUCGUGAUUAUCAAUUUCUUCAAUUUUGGAAUAAAUUUCUUCAUCAACAUGCUUAACUAUAUAUACCUAAUAGAAAUAUAUGGUUGUAUAUUAUUCAAGCAUACAAUGACACUUUUGCAAUAUAUUGCUUUAGCAUUCUCAAAAUAUUAGAAUUAGUCUAACAAUAAACCUUAUAUGCAUAAGUAUGUUGACAAUUUUGGACAUAUCUACAAUAUAUUAAGUGGACUAAGAUGCCUUGACAUCCUUUAUUUAGUUAUUUCUAAUCAGUUCCUUUUACUUUAGAAUUUUGGAAAUCUAUAUCUAUGAAUUUCUUUAUCAAUCUUUUACCUUCUAAAGGAUUUGACAACAAUUUUGUUAUGCAUCUUCAUAAAUUGCUAGAUAAUAUUGUUAGUAAUUAAGGGCUUGAGUUUAUUUUCAACUUUUAGGAUUUUUUAAUGUAAAAAUUAAAGUAUCAACUUCUCAGACUAAUGGGCAAUCAAAGUGUAUUAUUUAAAUUCUUUGAGCAAUAUCUUCAAUAUUUUAUUUCCUAAUAAUAGAAUGAUUGAGUUUAACUCUUUUCUUAUAUUGAGUUUCCUUAUAAUAAUUCUUAACACUUUUUGUCCCUUCUUUGUUAACUAUAAUAUUUGUCAUCCUUGUUGAUCAUUAUUCAUUUCUUCCAACACAUAAUUUUAUAUAUAAUUUAAUUGCUAAUCAAUAUUUAUUUUUGGAUUAAAUAAUUAAAUUUUACCCCCAACUUUGGCUAGUUCCUAAUGUGAUUAGCAUAAAUUUAGUGAAUAAAAGAAAUCCUCAAACCUUAGAAAUGAAGUAUAAGAUGAUGUGCUUAAAAUUAACCAAGAAGAAAUAUAUAGUGUAAUAAGACAUUCAUAAUUUAAAAUUUCUCUUACAACUAUAUCUUUUUAUCUUAAAUUUUUGUAGGGUGCAAUUCAAGCUCUUGUAUGUCCCAGAAAUAAAGAUCCGUUGAAAAAAUUGGAGGCCAUAGGAAAAAUCUAUUGAAGAAAAGUUUAUAAAUUAUAAAAAUAUUUAUAAUUUAUUUACAGAAGAUUAAUUUUGAUAAAUAUCAACCAUAAAUAAUAUAAUAUGCUAAAAUACCUAAGAAAGUUAUAGAUAUAUUCAUUCUAAAAUAAACAAUUUAGUGAUAGUCCACCGUUAGCUAGGCUAUAUUUCUUUGAAUCUAAAAUUUAACAUUUGGAUCCAUCUUAAGAAGCAUACAAUAUAUAAAAUAUAUACGCCUAUAAGGGAUGAAAAAUUUACCAAAAGUUUGAUGUUGAAAAAUAUAUGUACAAUUGAAAUUUGGAAUUUGGUUGAUUGUGAUAUUGUAAACCUUCUUAUUUACAGUAUUAAUUUUAUAACUAAGAAUUGUAUACUUAUAAUGACAAUAUUGCUACUUAAUGUUGACACUCUUAACUUUUGUCUUCAAUUGUAAUGCUUUUGAGUAUGUUGCUUUUGAUUCUUUUGACCAAAUAUUUGCAAUCUUCACACUUUUGUUAUUUUUUAUUUUUGAAAUUUCUUGAGAAAAAUUCUAAAUUUGAGUUUGUGGUUAAUGUUCUUUUCAAAUUUAAAACCUACUUCAACCAAAGUUUGAAGUUCCAAAUUUUUCAGGUUCACCCCUUCUUUAACUAACUAAGUAGGUGGUAUAUAUUUUGGUUUUUGGAUAAUCUAUUCUAUAACAAAUUAUGUGUGUGGAAAUUUUAUUGGAUAAAACCAUAUGAACUAAUCAUAGUGUUCUGGAGGAUCAUUAUAUUAUUGUCAUCCCCAAAAACAAGGGGAUAAAGUGCAUAAAGUUCCUAUGGUAAUGUACUUAUUAUAUAAUUUUUCUCUAAUCCAAGCAAAACACUUGACUAUAAAUCCUACUUCAAGUUGACAUAUAACCCACUCAAUCUUAUAAAUUUUUUGUUCUUUGACUUUUACUCAAACAUGUUAGUGCUUCAAAUACAUACUACUAUGUAAACACUUCUUAAAUCCUAAGUAGGGUGACUUUGAGCCUAGAGUGCUACAACUUCAUCCAUGUUUUGGCCCUUCAUCCAUAUAAUCUCUAGCAUAUUAAAUAUUAGUAAUUCUUUCAUCUCGUCCACAAUUUGGAUAUGAAGUGUAAAAUCACUCACUCAUCUUCAAAGGAUGUUGUCACCCCUUAUCACUAUGUCAAUUUUUUUUAUUCAUGUCUCUCACACAAGUGAUUAUCCUUGAAAGAAAUAGGAGAAAAUAUCCUAAUGAACAGCUUUCUAAAAGAAAUGGAGCAACUCAAAACUCAACUUGAAGAAAUUUUUAGAGGCUUUUGAGGGCUUUUUCAAAUUUUGUAAAACUAAGCUAGCUAUCAUCUUUCCUUGAGUUAACCACUCUACAUUGUCCUAAUAAGCAAGUAAUGGCCUUUAAGAUGAGUUCCAUCCACCAACAAUGGCUGGCAAUUGUUUAAAAACAACUAAAUGUUCCAUAAGCUUUUAUUUGGAAGGAAACAAAUCCUCAAAAGUUUCAGAUUGAAUUCAUUCUUACAGCCUAAUCCCAAUUACAAUAUAUAAUUUUGUAUACGCUCACUCUAUGAUGCAAUGGUUUUGUUCAUAUAACUAGAGAUCAAUAAGCUGCUUUAGAUUAAAUGGAAACAUAAUUGUUUUGUUCCCACUUAAUAUAGAAGAGGCUAUGAGACGGUUUGCAGACUCUGUUGGAUGAUAAGCAUCCCAAUAGAAGUAUUGGUUUCUCGUAGAACAAACUGAUCCUAAUGGUAAACAAGCAAAUAAUCUCAAGGGUGAUACUCCACAACAAGCAUCACGGCCAUUCACAAAUCCUGUCAUACAAAUUACAAUGAGCAAAUGAUGAAUUUGUGUUAAGCUUACCAUAUUUUGAAGGUUGUUUGUUGCAUCGUAAAAUAGAUCAUAUGUAGUUCCAAACACCAUCUUCGCUCCAUUCAUGUCUCGAUUCAUCCCUGAAACCAUAUCCUUGAGUGCUCUGUCAAAAUUCACGGCCAAAGUGUUGGCUUCUUCAUGGCAAGCCUUGCCAUUUGCUCCCAAAAUAUUGCAAUGGAAUGCAACCAAGUGGUCCAAGAGCAAAAACCACUAUUUUGCGAGCUCCUAGUUGAUAGGCUCUCUGUUGAGAAUCAAAAUUACACCGUGUAAAUCACCGUGUUGAAUCAAAAUCAAAUCAAAUGAAAUGAGUUAUUGAGCAAGAAAAGCAAUCACUUACAUUCAAGUAGCCUUUGUAUGCAGAGAUUACUUCAUCUUGAAAUUCUUGCGGAGAUUUGCUCCUGGUGCUGUUCAUGUAAUUCAAGUAAUUGUUGGAUCCAAGAGCAAACAAAAAUAUUGACCGUGACAAAAGAUCAAAUGCGGGGUCCUCGCCUCCCACAAGCAAAACGAUCUCAGACCUAGUGUUGACGAAAUUCUGGAUCUGCUGGAUCUGGUCAAAGGUCCAAGGAUGGAUGGUCAACACGCUUCAAAAGCCCAAACUAAACACUUUACAUUCUGGAGGAAGUUCACGGAGGAAUCAUUGAGGAUUCGAGCGCCGCCUGAUGCGUAGCUUACUCCUUUGAGGAUCACACUGCCUUUUGUGUUGGGAUCGUGAUAAGCAGGGACUAGAGGAAGCCCAAGUUCUUGAGCUGGUGGAAACAAAACAAACUCAGAAAAUGUGUAGAUCAAUUUGCCUUGCUUACCAAUGAGAUCCACGACUGUGAAUCCAUUGCAAAACCUUCCUGUCGCCUUCCCUCCUGGGAAAUCGAUUCCAUUUGGCCGAAAUGCUGGUGACGAGGAACUUGUUGUUUCCGGGAUCUGUCAAAGAGUCACCAAAGACGAAGAAUGCAGGAACUUGGGCACGCCCAGAUCUAAGAACCAAAAAAAAACUCAAAAUCGAAGCUGCUAGAGGAAGAAGACGCAUCAUCACUCUUCUCUUAGUCAAGGUAAAGUGGCGAUCUAUUCGUUUCUUAUUCUCACACGCAGUCAGUCAAAGUCCAUUUUAUGGUCAAUUUGGUAGAGCUCGGCAAUCCCCCUCAUAGUAACACAAGGGAAGAAAAUAAAAGCAAGGAUGGACCAAGAGCUGCCAAUCUUGGCUCCUUCCAACACUUCAUGGAGGACACCAUCAACUGCUUUACCAGAUGACAAAGUACGUUGAGCGUAGUCUGUCUUAUAGUCUCCGCAGCCUCUCUGUGAAUCCGAAACCCCCAGCUUCAGCUAGAUCACCUUCUCGCCAUCUUGCUGCCAUCUGACACUGGUUUACUUUGCUCCUCGCUGAAGCUGUACAUUAUACCGCAACAGUGCUAAUCCCCUGGAGCAAACAAAAGAAUUAAAAAUGGCUGGGAAUAGAAACAUGUCUGAUUUUUUUAUUUGCUUCAAUCGCUUUUUGUGUUUGCUCAAUCACUAAUCUACAAGAGCCCUACCACGUCAUCAAUUGAGCGUUCGGAUUAGAUCAGACAAGUCCAACUUAUAGUCUUUGGACACCAGCCUCCUUCCAGUUUCUGUGGAGAGCUUUGAUCCGAGUUCGCAAGCUGCAUCCUGGCCAGUCAUCUUCGAGUUUCCUUGCUGCAAUCUCGUCUUGAUCCCUUCCUAAGCUGCAUCCUGGCUGUGAUGGUCGCUAGGCUCAUCAUCUCUUCUUGAGUUUCACUCAGAGCUGCUCAACUGGCCAGGGAUGUUGCUUGCAGUGGCAUACAUCACAACUUGCGUACUCUGAUUGAAGACAAAGCUCUCCAGCAAAGAGCAGUGAUUCUUGAGCAGUUCCUUAUUUAAGUUUGGCAUAAUAAACUAGAUAUAUCUAGAAUAUUCUUGAAUAUUUUAAAAUAUUCUACCAUUUAACAGUUGUUAUUCAUUUAGGUUAAUCCAGUAUUUAUAAUUUACAAACAUAUUUAUAGUUUAUAAACUUUCUAAAACACUUUCUAGUAUAUUCUUUUUUAUUCUACCAUCUAUUUCUUUGCAAUGUCUGAACCUAUUUAAUAAUAAAUUGCUACGCAUUGAAUAUAGCAACACUUGGUUUGCUUAUUAGUAGUUUUAUUAUUACUUAUUAAUCUAAUUGAUCAAAUAAAGUAUAUAAUUAUAAGUUUAAGAAAGUUUAUAAAUUAUAAAUACAAGAUUAAUCUAAAUAAAUAAUAACUGUUAGAUGGUAGAAUAUCCUAGAAUACCCAAGCAUAUUCUAAGUAUAUUUACUACCAACAACCAAAAAUAUUGCCAACAGUUUUCUUUGUUUUGUCUUUAAGAUGCUUGAUCUUCCUGCUCAAACUUCGCUACUUUGAUCUGGAUCCACCAAUACAGGGAGCCAAGGGAGCCAUUACCGUUGACAAGAAUAUUUUAAGAAUAUUCUAGCACACUAAGAAUGUUUAAGUUUUAGAUCAAGAACAGAAGAACUUGAAUAGUGAUCUUUGAUUUUUUAGUUUCAUUCAUUUCAUUUUAUUUGCAAGAUACAGAAAAGCGACAGCCUUUGAAGACUUGCAUGUUAAUAUGCCUUAAAUUUCUGGUCUUCUGCUGCCUCUCCCGGUGCUUCCAUGGCUGGGCCGUACUCAAUGGAUUUGGUGAUGGCGGUGGUGCAGUCAGGCACUCGGCAGGCAUCGCACUGCAAAGAGAGAUCACGUUAGAGCAAGAAUUCAGGAGCUAAUAUAUGCACCUCCAGUUGUUCCAUAUGUUAUAGAGCCAUUUGACUGCAGAAAGAAAGAAGACUCACUCACUUUUGAGACAAAUAUUAAGCACUGAGUUAACGCCUACUGAAGACUGUCAAGCCAAAGUUAUGGUUCAUAAGCGGAUCAAAAGGCCUUAGUGCUCCCAUUGUAUGGAAACAGACUUGACACGAACGAAAGCUUCAAAUCGUGAACGCGUUUUUAAUGAAAAAAAAAAAAAAAAAAACGAAGAGAGAACUUUGUUUGAUCAGCAUGGCAACUUCCAUCGCAAAGUCAAACUUGCAAACCUAUCUUUCACGCAAGCCUCGGAUGCUUGCAGAGAUUUUAUAGGAUCCAAGAACAGCCGAGGAUCUAAUAGUAACAAAACCGCUGUGAAACAAAUUCCGGGAUUUGUCUAGCUCUCCAUUAGCAAUGGCAAGCUCCGCCUGCCAAAACCAAAGAAAGAUACAAGAAUAACUGCAUUGGAACCUUUGGUAUGGUCCCAUCACGCUUUUCCAAAUCCAAACUACAUGAGAAAGUAACAUAAUGUUUUGAUAUGAGUAUGGUAGUCGUCGCGUGAUCACUUAUCGCGGCCACUGCCGAUCCAUAUAUCCAGAGCUUCCUUCACAUUUGCAAGUUUCUAUAAUAAGGGUAGAAAGAAAUUGGAUGGUCAUCGUAGUCUCUUUCCUGUUCGAAGAACGGUUUAAAUUAAGGUCCCACCGAGAUUCGAACUCGGGCUCUUGGAUUCAAAGUCCAAUGUCGUAACCACUAGACUAUGGGACCAUUUCUGUUGAGUUAAUCGAUCGUUACUAUGGCUUUAAAAAAUAUUUACAAACCAAAACCAUCGACAAAGUUGAAGGGAAAAUUAAAAAAAUUCCGCGACCGUGGUCUGGUCAACGGCACCCACGCGCGAUCAGCCCCAUGGAUGAACAUCCGUUUCCGCUAAUUACGUUUGAAAAGAUGGCGUAGGACAAAAGAGAGGAAUAUUCAUUAAAUUGGACUUCUCAUACUUGGCAUAUAGCAUUGAGCAUCUUGACGGUGUUUACAAAACCAGCGAUCUCCUGCUAAUGCAUAAGUGAUUUUAUAGCUAUGGCAGAAGAUUUUAGCAUUCCUCUCAUUGAUCUCGCUCCUUUGCACCAGGCGGGAAACGCUCCCAGAGUCGAAGUUCUAGAGAAAAUCUCCAAGGCCUGCGAGGAAUGGGGAUUCUUCCAGGUGAUCAACCAUGGCCUGGAUUUGAAGCUCUUGAGCAAGGUGCUGCACAAUUGCAAGGAGUUCUUCUCUCUUCCAGAAGAAGAGAAAACCAAGAUGGAAACCAGCCAUCCACCCGUGGGAUAUGUAAACAAGAGCGGUGUUGGUGGAAUGGUUGAUAGAAAAGAGCAUUUCUUUGCGCACGUAAGUGACAAUCCAGCGUCCAAUAACGUUUGGCCUGAGAAUCCAUCGACUUUCAGGUAUGAGAACGUUUUAGGAAGUUGAUCUAUUGAUUUGCAUGUUUUCGGUUUCUCUCCUUGAAGGCCAACAGCCGAGAACUUGAUUCUGGAAGCACGGAAAACUGCAAGUUUUCUCGUGCAGAUCAUGAGCGAGAGCCUUGGCCUUCCCAACGAGCAACGUCUGGAGAUGUACAAAGCCGGCGAUGCUCUGAUCAUGCUGAAGUACCCAGCAUGUCCAGAGGGAUACGAAGGCCCGGUUCUUGCCAAGCACCGAGAUGGAGAUAUUCUCACCAUCGUCGCCCAGCUCAACAAUGCCCAAGGCCUCGAAGUUUUACACGAGAAAGACCAGCAAGAGAUCUGGGUUCCUGUAAAACCAGUGGAAAAUGCCCUGGUUAUCAACGUUGGUGAUGUUCUCCAGGUAAAAUCUUUGAUUAUUUCUAUCGUUUGAUCUAAGCUAAUGUUUUUCUUUUCUAUGGUGUUUGUAAGGUGUGGAGCAAUGGGCGAUACAAGAGUGUUUUGCAUAGAGUGUCCGGCUCACAAAUGGAUCGCUACUCCUUUGCUUACUUCCAUAUGCCAGUGCCAACCACGCAAAUCUCCCCUCUAGACGCUUUCACCGCGCACGAAAUACCAAAGUACAGACCUUUCAUGCAUGGUGAAUACCUCCAAUUACGCUACGAAAACAAAAAGCUCGACUCCAAGAAUGCCAAGGAAAUCACAAUAGAUUACUAUGCAAUGUAAAUCAAACAAAAAAAAAAAAAAACCAUCUUUUCCUACAAAGAUGUCAAGGCGAAAAAAAGCUCUUUUUUUUCCUUUUUAACAUUUUUACAGCAGCUCCACCCUCGUUAUUACAAGCCUUCGUCCUGGGAAUCAAAUCUUUCGCUGGACCAUUCGCCGGCUUCGCGUCGAUCGUAUCACUGGGAGCUUCAAAGUUUGGCCCGGCUGUGCCGCCAAUUCUCGCACCCGAGCUAAAAUGUGAGCGGGAAUCGACACCGAGAAAUGUUUUCUCCGCUUCUCACCUUGCUCGGACACCUGUGAGAAGAAAAAAAAGAGAGAAGACAUUUAUGUACCACUAUAGCUUGUGAAAGAUAUCACAUACCUGACGCGAAGAAUGUGAAUGUACUCGACUGGCUCGUAAUAAGUUUCGCCACUUGUCCUGCAUUAGUUCGAUCAGGAAACUCUCAACCAUCUAAACUAGAGAAUUUGGGAUGGUUUUCUACCUUCAAGUCAACUGGAGUUCGAUAAGCGAUGGCAGAGAACGCAAGUCUCUUGAUGUCGGCCCACUUUCCAGUGCCACAGCGAGAAACUCCGUCCACCAAAGCCAUUACUUCCCGCAGCGUCCAGGGUCUAUGGUGCUUCCUACGCGAUCCCGACUUUCGAUCUGUAUCCUGGUCCUCAGUGUCAGAUGGCUGCAAUUCGUCUGACACAGAAGGAAGCAUGCACGAGACUUGAUCCGCGGACUCGUCAUUAGGCUCGUAGUUUUCGUCCUGCGAGACAGUGUUGAGUUGAAACAGAACUAAUGAGAAAAACUUACAUUGUCCUGGCCGGGAGCAGAUGGAAGCUUGAACUUGAUUUUCCUGAUGCUAGUGUUCGCGUCGCGUUUAGCCGCCCUUGCAUUUCGAGCCAUUUUUACAAGCUGCGCUGCUCGUCGCUCGGCCUUCAGCUCCUACAACAACAAAACGUGAGCCGGAGAAGCACGCAAAAGUUACCAGAACACUUACACCCAUGCGAUUGCGACUCCGGGCACCAAAGGAACCGUCCGGUGACAUCGAGUCGAGCUCUCUGCCAUUCAGAUCAAAGCACUCGUCCAGGUCGUCGCCAUCAACAUCUGGAUCAUCGGGAUCACCAUCUUCACCGUCUGACUUCCAAAAGUCCACUUGCAGCUGCUGUUGUUGAUCCUCGGGACUGCUCAUCGAUGGAACAAAUGACGCAACAUCAUCAGCUUCUUCUUCCACAUAUCUCCUGUUUGGCUUCCGGUGCCUCUUUCCUUCCAAACUCUGGACUUCGUUGAGAUGGGACUGCCCGUCGCUAGGCCUGCUCACCACUGUGGUUGUCGAGGCGUCUAAGGAAAUGGUUGGCGAGGUACCUAAUACCACCGGCUUGACGUCCUCCUCCUGCUUUUCCAUGCCAAAAGGCUGCUCCGCGGAAGUCUCGCCUUCAAGGCGUUCUUUCAACAAAUUUUCCUGUGCCUGUGCAGCCACCACCACUGCCUGUGCCGAGCUCUCGUUCAUAGAAUUCAGGCCUUUGGUGAUUUUCUGCUUCAGCCAGUGCUUGUCUUUAGCCGAAGUCACCCGACCAAACGUGUUCCUGUAAGUGUCUUGCAGUGCCCUGAUAGAAAGGUUGUCUAGAAAAAGCUUGGGUGGAGUAUAAGAAGCAUCGAAUUGAGGAGUAAUAGUACCGGGUGUAGAGCUGCUGCAGAUAGGCUCUUCUUCCAUCAGUUUCAAUGGCUCAACCUUGACUUGGGCCACCAUUUGCUCAGAAGGAGGAAGCUCGCCGGUGCAGUCGAAGGCGUUUAUGUUGAAGUAUUUUGGAUUAGGCCGACGCCGUCUCUUGUACGUGAACUUCGCACCAUUAUAGCCGGAACUCUCUAAAGCUCUUUGAUCUUCCUCCGUCUUGACUUUCAAGAGCAUAGUAUCUACAACCUACAGUCAACCAUCAGGUGGUGAAACGCGUGGUAAAGAUAACGAGAGGCAUACCUCUAGCUGCUUGAGCAAUCUCAACUUCACGUCUUCCAAGUCUUCCUCCAUGGGUCCUGGACGAAGCAAUUCUUGAAUAGGAAGACAAAGAAACAAAGACAAAGGUGAAAGGAACUUACGUGCAUCGUCUUUCUCAUCGUCUUGAUCGGUAUGAUCGUCCUCAGAACUCUCGCCUUGAAUCAGUGAUUCAACUUCCAUGAGAUCCUCAUCGGUAGUAGGAAACAUCAUCCCAUUCUCGUCAAUCUGUUUGAAAAAAAAAACAAGAAAACGAAGACUUAUAACAAAAAAAAAAACAGAAGAAAAAACAAAGAAGAACUCUUACCCGGACAAGAGUGUACAUGAUGCGCUCGUCUUUCUCAAGAGGGAUUUCCACCUCCUCAUUCUUCACAGCCAGCAUUUUUUUCCCGGCAGGAACAAAAAAGAAAGAAAUAAAUCCGCGCAGCGCUCUGCCAGCAAAAAGAAUAGCCUAAGAUCGAUCCGGAGCUGCGAAGAAUGCAGAUCGGCACACCUAGAGCCCAGAAACCGAGCGAUUCCUAAAGAAACCUAUCCUGACCUGAUCAAGCGCCGUCAAGAUGCCGCGGGACGCCGCUCGAAUCGCCCCUCCCCAGCUCGAAAAUCACGCCUCGACCGCCAUAGCCAGCGCCAUCGCCAUCGCCCCCACUUUUGUCCUCCUUCCUAAUAAAGCCCCGCCUUUCGAAAGCUCAAAGAUCGCCCUCCUCCGCCAUAGCCAAAAGCUUUCAAUGUGGAGGUGAGAAGGAAAAAAAAGAGAGAACGCCUCCACUACUGUAGCAACAAAUGAGGUAAAAAAAAAUCCCAAUUACUCGAUUCCUGAGGUAAAUAGCGAUUCGCGUGACGCGUCCGUACGGCCCACCAGGUGUACGGGCGGCGAUUAAAAAUAAACGGCCGCAAAUACGACACGUGGGCUCAUUUGCCUCUCUCUCUCUCUCUCUCUCUCUCUCUCUCGCUCUCGCUCGCUCGCUCGCUCGCUCCUUUCAAAUGGAGGAAGACGCGCGUUCUUCUUCGUCUUCCUCGUCGCCAAAGCAGCCCUGGGGAGAAUUCUCGCCCACCGCGAUCCCCUGUGCGUUCUCGCAAAAGGAGCUCACGCUGCUCUUCGCUUUGACGCUGGUGAGAUUCACGUCCAUGAGCACGAUCCCAUGGCAGGAGACUGAAUCGCUGCACGCGAAUCUCACUGCCACCGCCGUGGACGACGUCCCUGUGAUGUUUCGGUAGACAAUUCCACUCACUUCCACUCCGGAGGUCUGUAAAAGAAGUUGGGAGUGAGAACCUCCAAAAGUUCUAGCUUUAGAACUAGAACUAGAUCUAGAACUAGAAAACAGUAACAGCUUCUAUCACCUGAUUAAGACAGGGAACGGACGAGUCGCAGUAGUACUGAUCGAUGAUAAUGGGAUUUGCGACGCCGAUCAUUCUCACGUUUUGGUACAGGACUCCAUACACUUUGCCACGGCCUCCCUGUGAUCACCAUCGAAAGCUAAGCGAUGAAAAAGAUGGUGCUUGUGAUUAAAGCGGGAGUUACCUGCCAGGACUUGAUUCUUAAGCCGUUUGUUGUUCCAUUUAAGACGGCCCCGUCUACUACAACAGCACGAACAUUCCCAGCCGAGCCAUCUUUUCCGAGGCUUCCAAUGCUGCAUCGAGAAAAAAACGAGUAAGAGAAGGGACAAUGUUAUACCAGCAGCAAGAACAGGUCGUUACCUUAUUCCGUGACCAGGACCGCAGUAGACAUUCUUGAUGUGAAUUCUCGAGCUUCCGGUUUGGAUCGAAAUGCAGUCAUCACCUGGACUCUAGAUGCUCAGUGAAAACAACUCUAGCUGGAAAAAUACGCGAGAACUACUGAACCUGUGGCAAUCACGCAAUCUUGGAUGAAUCCGCUUUGCACGUCGUGGAGGUGGAUGCCAUCUGUGUUCGGGCUUUUCUGCGGUGCGCUGAUGUUCAGCCCGAUUGCCCGGAUGUUUACUCCAGUGUCAAAAACCAGAUGCAUUUGCUGGCUGUUGACGAAAUGUAGAUUCCGGACGGUGGUACUAUUGCAGCUUUUGAUUGUAAGUGCCUGACCAGCAAAACCGUCAGUACUCGAGCAUCCAGAAAAGAAAAGAAAAAGUUUUUACCUCCGGUGCGGGGUGGCAGGGCUGAAGACAACGACGAAGAGCCAGGUUAAAUACGAGCAAGCUGAGAAAAACUAAUGCAAAACUACUCACGUUGGAAUGAUUGCGUUUGCAAGACUGCUCCCACCACGAUUCUCCUUGCCCGUCAAUUGUUCCAGUUCCUUCCAAAGUGAAGCCAUCCAGAUGCUGAAACCGCAGCCACUGACGGCGAUUUGUGCUGUUCCAGUCGAAAAAUCCAGGGGCAACUAGAACACCAUCCAGCUGAGAGAUUAAAACGUUAGCUUCGAGAGAAACAAUUGAGAAAAUAACGUUCAGAACCUGCACUUUCAUUCCCAAACCACAAGGACCCGGAAAAACGGUAGGCUGGAGCAAAUAAGUCCCGUUUUCGGGUAUGACCAUCACCGAGUAGUUUGAUUCGCAAGCGGCUGACCAGGCUGCCAAAAAUGCCUACAGGAAGAGUGGAUGAAUUAGAAAAAGAAACGAGAAAAUAUAAAAGACAACUCGACUUACUGGCGAGCCUGGAGUUCUCUUACCUCAGAAUCGUCCGAGACGCCAUCAGAAAGUGCGCCAUAAUCCAGCACGUUGUAGAAGGUAUAGUUGAUUCUCCGCGGAGGAUGAGGACGAGGACGCAAAAUGUUCCACUGUUCUAGCUCUGCACAUCUGCUCAAUGUCCAAAACAGUAUUAUCAUGAGCAAAGAAAGAGAAAGCCUGGCCAUGCUCAUGCUCGCAAACAGACUGUAAUAGUUUCUCCUGUUUCAAUCCAGGAACAAACGAGUCAUCACAACAGCGACUCGAGUUUCACAAUCACACAAAUGCUCGCAACAAGACAAGCUACAAAAUGGGGACGAGGAGACGAGCUAUAUGCAUAAUGGAUGGAAGAGUAUGGCUGAAUGGAUGGAGGAGGGUAGCAGUCAGUUCGAGCGGUCGAUGGACGGCACGCAAAGCAAUGCUGGGACGGCAAGAAUCUGCACGUAUGCAUGAAACUCUUGUAAGAAGAGAAGAAAUACUUACGCGGGUUUUGAGGGUCCACUUUAACAAACACCUGCGAGACGAAAGACUUUCAGAGCUCCAGCAUCAUAGAAAUGAAACAAAUGUACCUUGCGGACGAAGCAUAGCUCGCUGCAAUGCGAUUCCAGCAAGCACAUAGCAUUCACAUGAAUCGUCAACUCCAAGGCUGUAUGUGCACGUCAAGAUCAUAAACCCGCCACACAACUCUAUUUUGCUUGCACUAUAUACACGCCUGUGAUGAUUACGAAUUCAUACCAUCUCUUGGAACAUUCUCAAGCCUUUCACUCGUGCACCACGCAAACACCUUCAAAGCCUGGAGCGAGAACGAGCGACGAGUUCUCUUCUCAAGAGCUUUCCCGUGGCAGACUUUGGUAUGGCGUCCAGGAAUCGCACUUGUCUGACUCUCUUGUAGGGAGCGACCUGUGCGAAGCAAUCUUAGAAACGCAUUCUGGUUUCUUGCCCAAACCUGUUUCGAAACAAAAUCCACAACUUCCGCUUCGGAGAGAGUGGAAUGAGGUACACGAACGACAUAAGCAAGGGGGACCUCGCCUGCCUCUUCGUUUGGAAAUCUGCAACAGCAAUAAAUACACCAGUUGAGUGAACAGCUACGUGUGCGUUACUUACGGAACAACAGUGCAGUCUUGGAUCGCAGGAUGACUCAAAAGCAAUGCCUCCAGUUCAGCAGGCGCCACCUACACUCAAGAUUUUUUAGUAGUUCACAACGCGUCAUCGAGCGGAAAUACCUGAAAGCCCUUGUACUUGAUCAACUCUUUGAGCCUAUCCAUGGCAAACAUGUUUCCAUCCGUGUCAAGGAGGACAAGGUCCCCAGUAUGCAGCCAUCCAUCCUUGUCAAUGGUCUCGGAAGUUGCUUUGGGAUUGUUAAGAUAUCCUACUCACAGCCAACCAGUGCUUGUUAGAUCCAAAAGUUGGAAACGAGAAAGCGAGAAAGGAAACUCACCUUCCAUGAUGCAACGACCGCGUAGACACAGUUCACCUUGCGAACCAGGAGGGAGAGUUCGACCAGUGCCUACCUCCACAACUUUCGCUUCAAAACCCGGCAUGAUCUUCCCAGCCGAGCCGACCACAGUAUCUUUGGAAGCUCCAAAUCCCAGUCCCGUCGUCUCCGUCAUGCCAUAAGCCUGCCACCAAAGUUGUCGAAAGAACAAAACCAAAAACAAAAAAGAGCUGUAAGAACCAUGAAAACGAGGAAAAACUCGAAGAAUACCUGUGGAAAUCGAGCCACCUGUGGAUACAAGCGAAGAAAAGCCUCGUGAGUCUCUCUCCCGAGGGGCGCGGCACCACACACCACGCGCGAGAGAGAGCUCAGGUCAUACCUCUUGCUCGAGCUAUGGUGCUUGAUAAACGCAAUGAUCAUUGGAGGGACCGCGGUCAUUUGCGUCACCUUGUAGCGCUCGAUGGUCUCGAAGAUCUCCAGGAGCUCAAACUUUGCGACCACCACCAUCGUUGUUCCACUGUAGAUCGUGGCCAGUACCCCAUAGAUCAGUCCAGCGAUGUGAAAGAAUGGAAGCAUUCCGAGCGAGACCUCGUCCUCCGGCACUGGCUCCUUUCGAGCGGUGUAGAGCGUUUCCAUGGCCGCGACCAAGUUUCCAUGCGAUAGAAUCACUCCUUUGCUCACGCCAGUCGUCCCGGAGGAGUAGAGCAAUGCCGCUGGACUGAGCUUCUUCUUCGCUGGCAAAUCCAUGGCGCUGGAAUUCCCAUCGUCCAGCAAAUCCUCGUAGGAGACAUGGCUGACAGGAAAUCCUGGCUUACCGACGAGGAGCAUCGGCAAUCGCAGCUCCUGGAUCUUGGAAGCCAAGCUCCCGGACGAGAAGACGAACCUGGCACGAGAAUCCGCGACCUGGCGCUGGAUGUCCUUGACAGUAUUCUGCGGAUUCGCCGUCGUCACAGUCGCGCCGAGCGCCAAGACGCCGAGGAAGAGCACCACGAACUCGAUGCUGUUGCCCAGGACGAUCAGCACGACAUCGCCAGGGCAAAUCCCGAGCGAUACCAUGCCUGAGGCGGCGGCGGCGACGCUGCGCCUCAGAUCUCCGUGAGAGAUCCUCUGGUUCGUUUUGGAAUCGAUGAAUGCGAUCUUGUGUGGGGAGACCGUGCCCCAUAGAACUUGUAGAAGAGAGACUGCGUUACUGUCCGCCAUAGCCGUGCUUGAAAGAAUUAGGGUUCUUAGUUUUUGGAUGGAGAGAAUGGAGCGUCUACAGCGGAUGUUUUCGGGGAUGGGAGGAGGAGGCGCUGGCCCGCAUCCCGACUCGCCGCUGGUCGAUACGUCGGAGCAAGUCUACAUCUCAUCGCUCGCGCUUCUCAAGAUGCUCAAGCACGGUAGGUCCUUGAAAACUUAGAUUUCUUGCGGGAUUUCGCUUGGAUCUUUCCAUACCUUGCUGCUCGAGCAAGAUGGAUUGUUUCUAAGCGCAGUGCUUUGCUCGUUCCAUGAUUUUGCCAUGCCAUGGUGCUCGAUCCCAUGCUCGUUUCUUAGUUCUUUAUUCUUGUUUUUUCCUUUGGUUUGAAACUUAACCUUGCUACUUGGUUUUCCAGGACGAGCUGGUGUGCCAAUGGAAGUUAUGGGUCUCAUGCUAGGUGAUUUUGUGGAUGAGUACACUGUCCGGGUCAUCGAUGUUUUCGCGAUGCCGCAGAGUGGCACUGGUGUCAGCGUCGAGGCUGUAGAUCCAGUUUUCCAGACCAAGAUGAUGGACAUGCUCAAACAAACAGGAAGGUUCUUAUCACAUUUUUCUUUUCUCUUGUGGGAUUAAGUGUGAAGUUUUUUGCAGAUCGGAAAUGGUUGUAGGAUGGUAUCAUUCACAUCCUGGAUUCGGGUGCUGGCUUUCUGGAGUUGAUAUCAAUACUCAACAGGCAAGUAGAAAAAAGUCUAGUCUUUGUUUCACUUUGGAUGGAGUUCACAGAUAUGUUUUGGAACUUGACUUGUGCAGAGCUUUGAAGCAUUGAAUCAAAGAGCUGUGGCGGUUGUCGUGGAUCCAAUCCAGAGUGUGAAAGGGAAAGUUGUGAUUGAUGCCUUCAGGCUUAUCAAUCCACAGACGAUGAUGUNNNNNNNNNNNNNNNNNNNNNNNNNNNNNNNNNNNNNNNNNNNNNNNNNNNNNNNNNNNNNNNNNNNNNNNNNNNNNNNNNNNNNNNNNNNNNNNNNNNNACAUUUGGGAAACGAACAGGCGCUUAUCCACGGCCUAAACCGUCACUACUACUCGAUCGCUAUCAACUACCGCAAAACCGAGCUCGAGGAGAAAAUGCUCUUGAACCUCCACAAGAAGACCUGGACGGACGGGCUAGCUCUCCAGCACUUCGACUGCCAUUCAAAGACAAACGAGGCAACCAUCAAUGUAAGCUCCCAGCUGUUUUGAGGUUCAUCUCCAGCGCUAACGGGAGCGUUUUCGUUUCUUCUAUCCAGGAAAUGCUCGAUCUUGCCGUGAAAUACAACAAAGCAGUCCAAGAGGAGGACAAACUAUCCCCGGAGAAGCUGGCCAUUGCAAACGUUGGCAGGCAGGACGCCAAGAAACACUUGGAAGAUCGCGUGUCCAACCUCAUGUCCUCCAACAUUGUCCAGACUUUAGGCACCAUGCUCGACACUGUGGUGUUCUAAAGCGAGGUAACCAAAAAAACUCUCUUUACUUUCUCGAAACAAAAUCCCAUCCUAGAUGAGACUUACUGAUAACAGCAUUGAGUUCUUGACUUAAGGAAACAGAUGGAACCAUGAAGUCUAGAGCUUAAGCUUCGCUUUGCCGGGUUUGAAGCAACGACAGAUGGGUGGAAUAGAUCUGGUGCAGAGGCUGCAGCUUCCACCGUGCAGGCAGUCCGCAUCCGAGCAACACUGUGAUGCGGCGCUGCAUCUUUUCGGAUCCGGGGCGUCGCAGAAGCAAGUUGGAGGAAAGCUUCGGGUGCAACGUCCACAAAACUGGCCUGCCUUGCUGCAUCGCUUGGAGCCGGGGCAGCAGUGGGAGUUUGGCCUGCACACCAUGGCCUGGAGAUUGGCAGCAGAGACUAAAUCAUCGCGUUGCUCAUCACCAGCAAGAGCGGCAGCAAGGCAAGAGAGAGCAAGCAAGAGCAAAACACUACGAAGUUUAUCCAUAGUUGCCGUGGAGGAGAUAGUUGGCCAUUAUAUUCUCGGUGCAUCCCACGAUUUCCACGCAUGACAUAUUCUUUAAAGUUAUUUCUCUUAGUAAAUCUAUUGGAUUUUGACCUCAGCCACUUCAGUAGUGAUGGAUCUAUUGCUAUUCUCAGGUUCUAGGAUUAUGUCCACUGUGACAUUCAUUGCACCAUCCACUGAGCAUUCCAUGGAAAGAUAUGCUUCUAGAUCCUGAUAAAUAAAAGCAUAUUUUAGAAUGAUUAAGUAUAUUGCUAAGAUUUUGAUAGAUAUCAUAAACCCAUUUACUUUAAAAAUUUAAAAGAAAAAGUAUGAACCACUCUUUUACAACUUUAUUUAUUGCCCACUCUUUAUGAAUUAUGAAACACAUAUGCCUUUUCUAAUACACUAAAUGUUUAUAGUACAUAAAAAGCACUCAUUAUUUAUUUUCUUUAUUUGAUUACUUUGGAAUUUUCCAGAUACAGGUGAAGUUUUCAAUAUUGCAAGAUGCAAUAAAACCUUCAUUUUCAACACAAACAGCCAUUAGUUGAAAUGACUUUUUAUAAAAACCAUUUGACCAUAAAGCUUUUAAAUUAUCAUUGUAAAGAACAAGAUUUCCAUCUACCUGUAUCCUAAGAAAACAAUUUUUACCUUGAUUUUGUGUAUUUGUAGACCAUAUAAUUGUUUUUCCUUUAUAAAAUACUAAAUUGCAAUCUAAUUGCAUAUAUAACAUAAAUAUCAUAUUUGGAGAUAUAAUAAAUUCCCCAGUUUUUAAAUUAGCAAAAUAAGAAGUAUCUUCUGAGCUUCGGAUACAAGUUUUUCGCCAUUCACAAUCUCCUCCUUCAUUUUCAUAAUUUAUAUGUUGUUCGAAUGAAAUAUUUAAGAGAUUAUUCCUAAAAUUUAGUUCAUAUAUUUUAUACUUUUUAAGAACUAUAUUUAAGAUAGUAGAACUUGGUUUUAUAUAUGUGUACAUUAUACUAAAUCUGCCAACAAUAUAUUCACUUAAACCCCAUUUUAAAAUUUGACUAUCAGCUUUUAUAGCCUCUCUAAGUAUUCUAUAGAAUAUAUAUUUUAAUGAUAAACCUGGUCUUGGAGUACCAUAGCUAGGCAAUAAGCUACACAUUGGUAUGUAAUACCAAGGAACUGGACGAUCUAAAGAUGUUAUUAUUACAGUAACUCCAGUGAUGAUAUCAGCAAAUCUACGUUCAAACACUGCAUAAUAAGGAGUUUCAUCUCCAAUCAUUUUUAUAGCUUCCAGUAUAGCAGAAAAGAUGAAAUAACGCACUUCAUCAGGAAGAGGAUCAACCUGUUCAUGAUCUCGCUUGAUCUCGAGUGAAAUACAUGUAUUAAACAAAAUACAAGUAAUCAAAACUAACACAAUUAAAGACAUUUCAUUUGAUCUUUUACUCCUUUAAUCUUGUUACAGAAUUAAAGGACGAGUGAACAAACCUUGCAUACUGAUGAUUUGGAUUCUACUUUAUUAUUUUCAUCUAUUUUGUUUACAUAUAUACAAGAUAUCCAUAAGGCAUUUAGCAUAUGUCAAAAAACAAAAAAUGUUAUUUUCUAUAGAGACAAUGCCGUGGCGGAAAAAGAUGCAAAACAGAUAUUAAUAAUACUUACAAUAAGAAUCCACCAUUGUGUUUUGUAAUAUGUCUGUUUUGCAAGCAAAGAUAUGGUCAUACAUGGUAGAGACCAGAGUUAGUUAUUUUGCAAGAGAGAUGCGGUCAAACGUGGUCAGGCAGAAGGAUCAGCCCAAGUCCCUCACACAAGGAAAGAAACAACCAUUGGUAUGGAUCUAAUCUUAGGUGAAUAUUGACUAUGCAGCAAAGGGCCAUGACGAGCUGCUUGGCCACCAGCAAAAACUGAACAAACUUAUAGCAGUUAAGUACAAGGUCUUUGUAUGAGAUCCUCAUGAACCAUAAAACACCAUAAGUUGGCCAUCCCUUCAUGGUAGUUAUCACCUUCAUUGUUUAUCUAAAAAUAGUGUCAAUUAUCCAAAUAGCAACAGCUGGUUGUUUGCCUGUCUUUGCCAUGUCCGUUUUGCAAGCCCAGAUGCGGUCAAACACGGUCAGAGAAACAGGGUCAACUAAGGUCAAAAGACAAUGCAGCUGGCUGCUUUGUUUUUUAAACUGUAAACGUGGUCUUUUGGUUGCUUUUGUUUGGUGGUGUUUUCAGACUCAUCAGUUAGGGAAGCCAUCUCACAGAAGGCCCCGAGAGAGCGCAAGAGAGCAAGAGGCAACAUGGGAGCUCGCAAGGUACGAGUAAUGUAGGACUCCCACACAUCGAUUUAAUCUCGUAAUCCCCGGAUGGAUGCAAAUUCCCCCAAAACACCAGAUGGUCGUCAAGGUGAACAUCCCCUGCGCAAAAUGCCGCGACAAGCUGCUCGGCCAGAUCUCCGCUGUGUCAGGUAACUAAAGCACCACACUCUUGGAUCUGGAGCAAUUUCUCCGAGUCUAUCCUCUCUCUCUCUCUCUCUCACCACUUUGCCCCUUUCUUCUCUGUGCGUGCUCCAUCGUCGCGCAGGCGUCAAGAAGGUGGAAUCCACCACCGAGUGCUGCCCAGUCUUCACCAUCGUCGGCGACUUCAAGGUGGAGGACAUCUUAAACGCGGCGGGGAAGAAGCGGCGGUGCCUCAAGGUGGAGUCCGUGGAGGAGCUCCCACCACCGCCAAAGCCCAAGCCCGAGCCCAAGCCGGAGCCCAAGCCGGAGCCCAAGCCCGACCCGCCAAAGGCCCCGCCAAAGGAGAUCAUCAUCACCGAGAAAGGUUGGCCAAAGAAGUUGCCAAACGUUCCUCCCGGUACCAGCCUUGUGAUCGUGGUGGAGAACUUGAGCUUGUGCCCCAAGGAUUUCGACCACCAUGGCGGCGGUGGCCAUGGCUGCGAGUGCUGCGAUAGCUGCUGCUAAGCCACCAUAGUCUCUCUAGUUCUUCCUUUCGUACGCUGGACCGCGCAGUAUAGCUAUGGAGGCUGGCUCUUCUUCUCGCAUCCAUUUCGCGAGUACGAUAUGUCGUGCUUGUUUUGCUCUUCCGGGUUCUCCUCUCCUUCUCGGAAGUGGUGUCGGGAAUAAUAAUCGCGUGUUAGAAAAUGUGGUGGAGAGAAUUCAUACCAGAGUGACUUUCUUUUCACUCCCUCCCGGUCACGAUCUGUGAAUCUUAUAAUUCUUUGCUUCUUUCCUCUUUGUUGGUUUCUCGCCUUUUUCUCUAAUGCCCGCCAUGGCCCGUCGCGGGGCGGCACGCCUCCUAGAGAUUGUCAGCCAAGCAUUUGACGUUUUGAUCGCCCACAAAGACAAUGUGCCGGAUAUAUAAGUUUCAAUAUGUUGGUCGGUGCUGUUUUUUUUCGUCCAAACUCAUUAAAGUUGGCCGCAAUGUAUAUGAGUUGUUUUUUGAUUUUGUGUGCAAUCUCACCAUACAGUUGGACGAGUCAGAUAAAUAAAAAUCAUGAAAUCUUCUUUCUCCCUGAAAGAUGGCAAUGGCAUAUUCCAAGGCGGAAGCACAGCGACACACGUCUCCUCCACCCGUCCGAAGAUCAAGCUACCGAAAGUAUAAGUUCUGGCAGAGCGUAUGAAAUCUACGUAUACUUACGAGACAUGACUUUGACGUGACAAUCGCCUCAUCCAUCGAGAAAGAAACCGAGUAACAGAAGUUUUGUUUCCACUCUGAUUCAUCUAAACUAAGAACCGAUGAACUGAGACUAACCUUAAGUUGCGAUCAAUCGGGUGACAAUCCAGACCUUCGCAUCCCACUGCGCGAAUUGUUCUCGUCCGACCAUCUCUCGUCCAUCUUCUUCACUCGGCAGUCUUGCUCCCAGUGUCCACUCUUCCCGCAAUAGCUGCAAUUCCCGGGCUUCUUCUUCCCCCACAGAUUCACGCCUCGCUCAUCGCCCGUCCGGCGAUAGCCCCGCCAGCUCGAGUUGUCUCUCAUCACCUGAUCAAACUCCCCGAAUGCAAACCCCGGGCAACUCCUGUUGGAUCGAAUCCAGUCCAGAGAGCCCACAUUCUUCCCACAAUCCGGGAACUUGGCCAACAUGGCAGCCAAAGCACCGAGCUUCUCCCGAGCCACUCCAGCAGCCAUGGAUUCCCUUCAUCCAAACACCAAGCAAGGAACUGGGCGAUCUAGAAUCCCGAUCUAAAGCUCACCAGUGGCGCUUCCUUCGCCAAAAUGUAGCCCUAGAAGUUGCACAAUUCUGGAGUUCGAAUCUUGUGAGCACUCUCCGACAGUAUCUGCUUUUUUUUGUCGGUCAGCGCCAGUCAGACGUCAGUCCACUCAAGUCAGAGACGACUUACAAGAGAGAGAAGCUCUCAUUGUAUAUGAGCUGUGCAUCUUCUAGGGUCCCAGCCGGAGCGUGGAGUACUUCUCUCCGCAACGAUGUCUCGAAAGGUAUGAAUUCGCAGUGCCCGGCAACUCAAAUUCUGGUUUUUCCCCCAAAAUCAACACACACAGGCCAUCUUGAAAGUCGAUCUUUGUGGAAAAUGCAAGGACAAUCUCUUGAAGAAGCUGUCCGAAGUCUCAGGUAUCACCUCUCAUCGCUCGGAUUCUGAUCUCUCCUUUGUCCUCUUGAAUUUGCAGGAGUCGCGAAGGCCGAGGCUACCGGCGACCACCAAUUCACCCUCACGGGUGACUUCAAGAUCGAGGACAUCAACGCCGCCAUAGCCAGCAAGAAGCGUUGCGUCUCCAUCGAAUCCGUGCAAGAGAUCCCCAAGCCUGAUCCACCAAAGCCGGAUCCACCAAAGCCACCGCCCGAGGUCGUGUGCCCAAACACGAUUGUCAUCCACACCAAGAAUCUCGUCUUCUGUUUCCACGGCCGCAACAUCGGCUGCCCCUGGGAUCGCUGCUCGGAUCGCUGCUGCAGCUGCUAGAUUCUCCUCCUCCCAGGAAUUCCUCCCUGGAAUCCUUCCCUCCGGGCUGGAAAGGCCUAGAAAUCCAUCAACAAAGGGAGGAGAAAAUCACAAAAAAAAGCAGAAAAAAUCAAGCACAUAACUUGUGGAUGUCCGCCUUGGAUCGGCGCGCGACAAAUUUACGAUGGAGAUGCCACUGGCACACGGUUGGUGUUUUCGAAUCCACAAAAAAAAAAAAGCAAAAAAGGAGUUUGAAGCUUAGCAAGUUUGAUCUUGAAACUCAGCUAUUUUUCUUAGAGCUUAGCUUGAUCAACUAUUUGGAUCAACUUUCACAAGAUCUCUUCCUGGGAUCGACACAAUAUGUAUUGUUGCCAGCGAUCUCAAGGUUAUAAUAAGACUUGGGCGAUUCGAUCCAUCGCAUGUCACCAUUUAUUUCUUCAUGAUUUCUACGUCCCACUUGGGCUAAUUCUCAAAGCUUAGCUCUCUACCAAACAAAAGCAGCGCACAUGUGACAAUGGGAUCCACCAAAGAAGUUGUAGCUUUCAUUUUUAGCUGGCUGCCACCGAAGAGUAUGUUUUCCUUUAAUCUCUCUUUUAUUAUAAUCUUUCAGAAAAAGGUGAUAAAAGUACAUGACAUCAUCUAACUUUUUCUUAAUAUGAGUUUGGAUGAAAAAAGUUGUGCUGUCACUUUGGGGGAAUGAAACUGAGAAAGGCUUUCCAGACAAUGACCUAUACAGUCAUGUUUAAAAUGAGCUCUAGAGGUUGGGAAGUCAAUGUUACUCCUGGUUUUUUCUCAUUGGUUCCUUCUCAUGGUUUUGCUAUAAAAUUUUUGCUGUUUGGUCUUUGUUUCUCAUGGUUUGAUAAAUAUCUUGCACCUUUCAUUUGCUACUCAGAAGAAAGCUCGAGUUUGACACAAGUUCUCUUGCGCAACAAUGAAUUGGAAAGUAUGGCUGUGAAUUCUAUAGUCUCUCUGGGAUGAUAUACCAGCACUCAAUCAAAAUCUAUGUUGGUUUUUCUAGGCCAUCGUCAAGAUUCACGAUUCCUGCUGGAGGGACAGCGUCGCGGGGCAAAUCUACGACAAUCUCCCUGGUAAUUUCUCCCGUGAACACACCCAGACUACGUGCAAAAUCUUUGAUCCCUCGAAAUCGCAGGCGUGAUGAGGAUGGAACUAAGUGGCUCCCAAGUGACUUACACGGGAGGCUUCAAGAAAGAGGAUUUUCUAAAACAACUGGACAAGCACAAGAAAUGCGCGAGUGUGGUGUCUUUGGCACCGAUUGUCCAGCCGCCACCACCGCCACCGCCAUGCAAUUGCUGCAAUUCCUGAUAGAAAGAUAGCUCGAUCGAUCGAUCGAUCCAGCAAGAGAUCACUCCACCCUACAAGCUUAUCGCCCAUCAGUGGCGCUGUUAGUUCUAUAGAUCCACGGAAGUGAUUUAGCGACUGUGUAAAUAACCAAAGAUUUCCAAACUACGUGCUUCGUGCUUCAAGACAGACUCGCCUUCAAUCCUGGCCAUUGGCCAACUUUGUUACGUUCUAAUCGAUACUUAUCAUGGCUAAUUGGUGAUAAGCAGAUAAUAUACCACCACCAGCGAGUCAAUGCCUUGUUCUUGAUGGCUAUGGCGGAUGAUAGCCAGGGCAGUGGCUACCGGGAAUGCGAUGGGAUCUACUCCAGCCUCGCGUCGCCGGUGGCAAUGCCGCUCCAUCCCCAUCUGGAUUUCGUCUCCUACAUGUUCUCGCAGCGAUUUGGGAGGCCCGAGAGCGCCAGCAAUGUCGCGAUCUUGGAUGGGAAAUCUGGUCAGUCGCUCACUUGCUCGCAGCUGCGCCGAUCGAUCGAGGCGGUGGCGACGGGGCUGCACGAAUCCGGCAUCUGCCAGGGCGACGUUGUCAUGAUCUUGCUGCCCAACACCCUCGAGUUCCCGGUCAUGUUUAACGCGGCGCUGCGCAUUGGCGCGGUCGUGACGACUAUGAAUCCCCAGAACACGCCCGCCGAGAUCGCGCGUCAGAUGCUGGAUUCGCGUCCCAAGAUGGUGCUCACGAAUCGCGCCGGGGUCGAUAAGGUGAGAGCCGCUUCCCCAGAUCUCCCAAUCGUCCUCGUGGACGAGGAAGAACGCGAAGAACACGGAAGAACUCUAAACAGUGAUGAGAAAAAGCCCCAAUUCAUCCCAUUCUCUCGAUUCCUCGCCUCGGAUCCCGACCAGCGACCACGCAAUCGAUGCCUCAUCCGCCAGAGCGAUCCGGCAGCGCUGCUCUACUCGUCGGGCACCACCGGAUUGAGCAAGGGCGUGGUGAUCUCCCAUGGAAACCUUAUCGCCGCCAUGGCCGUCCAGAACCAAGUGCCCGAGGAGAUGGAUCGCGGCGACACGAAUGUGGUGCUCUUCCCGAUGUAUCACAUCGGCGGAUUGAUGUGGCUGUGCUGUGGAGCGAUCAUGGGCGGCCCGACGUUCGUGCUGCUGCAGCGCUAUGGAUUGGCGGAUCUGCUGCGCGCGGUGGAGCGGCACGGCGCCAACAAGAUCACGUCCGCGCCGCCCGUCGCGCUGGAUUUGCUCCACAGCGCCCAGACCGUGCGCUACGAUCUGCGAUCGCUGAGAGCGCUCAUCUGCGCCGCCGCGCCGCUGAGCAAGGAGACGAUCCAGGGCCUGAUGAUCAAGUUCCCCCACUUGGAGAUGUUCAUCCAGGUUUGAAAAAUCCGUUGACUAACCGAUGACUGUAAGGUUUGACUAACAGUUCGUUGACUAUGGUCAUUGACCAACUGCUUGACUAACAGUCCUUUGACUAAAUUGACUUUCUUCGUUUUUUGUAGAUGUAUGGAAUGACCGAGACUGUGACCGUGGGAAGCGGUGGAAGGGGCGUUAUGGGAUCUUCCGGGAGGCUAAAUGCCACGCUGGAGGCUAGGGUUGUGGAUCUGGAGACCCGGAAAUCACUGCCUCCUAAUCAAAGAGGAGAGCUUUGGCUUCGAGGGUCACCGAUCAUGCAAGGUAAGUAUAAUUCUUAUGGUCUUAUGGUUUCUUCUAUCAUUCCUCUAUGGCUUGCAUAGUUUUUGAUUUUACAAAUUUAUUGAACUUGCAGGGUAUUUGAACAAUCCAGUGGCCACCGCGGAGGCGAUCGACAGUGAUGGCUGGCUACACACGGGAGAUCUCGUAUAUUUUGAUUCCAAGGGGUAUUUAUACAUCGUAGACCGUCUCAAGGAGUUGAUUAAGUACAAGGGAUACCAGGUAUUUACUUGGAAAAACGUAUCUCAUAGCGAGAGAAUUAACCUUGCUUUGCUUUCAAGGUUGCACCAGCAGAGCUAGAAGCACUACUGCUCACACAUCCGGCCAUAGUGGACUGUGCGGUAGUACCGUAAGUUUUACCAGCUUUCUUGUACAUUGUUUUUACCAAUUUUCUACAACAUUUUUACCUCGCAGGUUUCCAGAUGAAGUGGCUGGAGAGAUUCCACAAGCGUUUAUCGUUAGGGCUCGAGACAAUAGCAUUUCUAGCGAAGAAGUCAUGCGUUACGUAGCAGACCAAGUAAGAGAUUUCUUUGAUUUUAACUCGAAAACAAUCUUACAAUUGUCUCUAUGAUCAAGGUGGCUCCGUACAAGAGAAUCAGAAGAGUAUCUUUCCUGGAUAAGAUUCCCAAGUCCGCCGCUGGUAAAAUUCUUCGCAACGAGCUCAAGAAGGCGGCAAGCAAACUAUAACACACACACACACACACACACACACACACACAUACACAUACUUUUUUUUUAACGGUGUCCGAUUGUGCCAAGUCUCACAAUCGGACGGCGUACAAGCUCUAACAAAACGCGUGGAUUUCUUCGUUUACCCAUUAGGGUUCUAGCGAAGGGAUUUUGAUGCUCCGGACGGAUCUAGAUGCCCUACAUUGAGGGAAUCGGUGACGAGGUAGUCCUAGCGGCAGUGUUUGCCGCGCCGGCUGUGAUCGUCUACUGCUCUUCAGCUGGGUAAGACGGCCAGUAAUUCUCGCGGGAUAUCUAGUUUUCUGGAUUGAUCGUCGAUUGCAGUGUGUUUGCUCGACUGAGAAAGGGAUUGCAGUCCCUAGGGGUGUGGAUCGUCCAAAUUUUCCAGAUUUCGACAGCGCCGCCCCCGCUAGAUCAUCCGCCUAUUACCAUGGAGGCUCCGGACGAGAACGAUUGCUGCUCGGUUUGCCACGAUACUUUCACGCUCCCUUGCCAAGCGAACUGUGCUCAUUGGUUUUGUGGUAAGCUAUACAUUUUGUGUGUGUGUGUGUGUGUUCUUUUGAGUCUCAGGAACUUUGAUGGAUUUCUUUUUUUUCUCUUUGUUCCAGGGGAAUGCAUUCUCAGAGUCUGGCAACACAGUGCUGCUUUACAGCCUUGCAAAUGCCCGAUUUGUCGCAGGACGAUCAAUCUUUUGAUCCCGGGACGUGAGUAUCAAGAGCGAAACCGAGAUGCCGAGUCCGAGCGUUUGCUAAGAGAAAUCUCAAAGUAUAACCGGCUGUUUGGAGGAGCACCUUCCAGCGUGAUUCAGGUAGAAGAACACGGUUUCUUACAUUCAUUGACGAGCUGGUUUACAGCGUUUAAGAGACAUGCCUUUGCUUUUGAGGCGUUUCUUUCGAGAUCUUUUGGAUCCUCAGCGAGCGCUUCUUAUUUUACACAGAACACGCUUCAUCCUAGUGGUAAACAGACAGUCAAGAAAAAGACUUUGUAGCCUAAUGUGCUCUUCUCAGGUUUUCUUAUCAAUGUGCUAUGUGCUUUCGCCCAUCGAUCUUCUUCCAGAAGGUAAUGUCUUUUGGAAACUUUGUUAUUAAAAUCUCUACCUGUGACGCAGCCGUUUUGGGAUUAAUCGGCCUCGUCGACGAUGCUCUGGUUGUGUUCUUCGCUCUAUUCCAAGUUUCCAUGAUCUACAGGCGUUUUCUCGUCCGGCAACACGGGAAUUACAGCUAAGUUUAGGCCUUUGCUUGCUCUUGCCAAAUUUGUAUAGGUGUUUGCAAAUUAAUUGCAAGAAACAGCGUUUGAAAGAAAAGCUUCUCAUCUUUUCUUCAAGCGAGUUGGAAUUUUAAGUUAUUUUUGGAUAAUUUUGUUUUACCCUUAUAAAAUAACAGCGACUACAACUCUUAAGGUUUUAAGACUUUCAAGUAUGUUCUAAAAGAUUCUUUAAUCUAAUCUUUUUCUCUAAUUAAAAUUUUAACAUUAAUCAUUUUAGUUAUCAUUAAUAUAAAUCAUAGUUACCAUCCAAAGAUUGUUUCAUGAAUCUGGUUCAUCAAGAAUUCAUCCUUGCCAUGGAGCUGAAAAACAUGUGCUUUAGGUGUGUGAGCAAGCUUUCUCUAACUCUUCCUUUAACAAGUGUGAUGGGAAGAUUAAUAAUUAUGACUUUGGCAUUCUCUAAUGUUUACAAUCUAACUCUUCACACAGGCAAAGAGUAAUCUUAAUAAAACCACACAAUAUUUUUCACUAGCAAAGCCUAGUCUAGAGCUUUUACCACAAAAAGCUCUUGCAUCCAUGAGCAGCUUUGCCACAAUAUAUGUGAAAGAUUGCCAUGUAAAAUUAUCAUGCUUUAUCUAUUGUGUUUUUGUAUCAAGAGUGGUUAACACCUUUUAUACAAGCUAAUAUAGUGAGCUGGGAUAGAAUAUUUUAAAUACCGCUUUAAAGAAUUAUAUUAUAGAAUAUUCUUUUAUAUUAAAUUUUUGUAAAUUUUUAAUUAUUAUUUAUUUAAAAUAAAACUAUAACUCUCCAUUUAACCUAAUGGCAAUUGCUUUCCAAUGAUCACAUGCAUUAGAAAAUCCUAAAGGACAAGAUCACUUUUCUUAAAAAGGGUAAAGAACCAACAAAUAAUAAAAAGAUAUUUGAUCAAUCCCAAGAUAAUUGUUGUCACGCUCCGGUCUUGCAGAGCUUGGCCCACGCGAUCUAAUCCAUAUUUACUGACGGCUUUGUGCAGGAAAGUCGGGGACGAGGACCCCAGAGCUCGACCGAGCGUUGAACUGAGAAGAUCGCGACCCCGGCAAGAACAAAAAGGAGAAAUGCCUUCAAGACUGGAACUAAAAUCUGGUGCGCUCCCGGAGAGGUCCCAUACGCGGCGCCUUGAAAACUGGAAAUCCUGCUGGUAUCGGCGCCCUCUUCGCUCUCCAGAGGAGCUUCAAAGUGCUUACCAACGUCCUGUUCCGGUGGCUGGAGAGAAUAAAUCGUCGUGGACGUGUAUGUCAAGGUUGUCGUUGUUCAAAUAGUUUGACACGCCUAAAGGAAACGCUCGUAUCCCCUGAACAGUUUAAACAAAUGCGGAAGAUCAAAUAAGAAACAUCACCGAGUAAACAACUCGAGAAACCACGAGAACAACCACACACACACAAGCUUUCGACAGCUUUGUACCAUACCAAUCCAGAAAGAAAGAAGAAAACCUCCAUACAGUCACCAUCCACGAAAACGUUCAAAGAAUCCUCACAAGUGACAAACUAUAAAACUUUCACAAAGAAACAAAGAAUCAUAGAACAAAAGAAAGAACCGCAAUAUCUGGUUGGAGAGCUCGACCUUCCAGGCCUUGGCAGGGGAUGGAGUCUUGUUGAGUAGAAAAGAAGACACCAUCAACCUCAAACACGAGUGCGAAAGCAUGAAGUGUUUCUGACGAUGGAAGGCCGACUCUUGGCUUACAUAAUGAAGUCAAGAAAUCUAAAUACACACCACAUAGCAAUCGAAGACUAUAAACUUUGUGCUUGAUCUUGCCUUGAUCCACCAGUGUGAGCUCAAGCAGCGCUGCCGUUGCUGGCGAGCACCAUAGAGAGAAUCGUCGUCCAUCGCGACAUGCCAGUGAAUAUCCAUUGAUCGUGAAAUGAUACACACUGCGUGAUCUAGCUUCCUGCUGUAAUGCAACUGUUGGAGGCCGUGCCAUAGGAAUCCAAGCUCAUCCUUCCUCCAGCCUCACCGAGAUUGAUAAGUUGCGAUGGCGAUGACGCAGAAGUGGAAGAAACCCCGCGAAAUUCCUGGAAAUAUCUUCAGCCGCGAGAGAAUCGAGCGCCAGCUGCCGCACGGCUCAGCGCCGAGGAUCCAUGAUGAUCCACCGUCGAUUCUAUGGACGGUCCAGAUCCGAGAGCCCUGAGGUACGAAACUUUUAGGGCGCCAGACCCUUUAGCUUAGGAGAAAUUAAUUUUAGGGUUUAUAGGCCCCGGAUCGGCGCGGAUCGUCAAUCGGCCAUGGCGGAAUUCGCCGAGAUCGAGGCCGCGGAUGGGAUCCGGAUGUCCUGGAACGUAUGGCCGAGCAGCCGCGUGGAGAUGGCCAGGUGCGUAGUCCCCCCCGCCGCCGUGAUCUCGCCGCUCCAGCCCCUCGCGCAACCCGAGGCGGUGCUCCAGUACCCGCCGCUGCGCUGCCGGACGUGCCGCGCCAUCCUCAAUCCCUUCUGCAGCGUGGAUUUCGCGGGCAAGAUCUGGGUGUGCCCCUUUGAUUUCUCGCGCAACCAGUUCCCGCCCCAUUACAGCGAGCUGUCCGAGAGCUAUCUUCCUGGCGAGCUCUAUCAGCAGUUCACCACGAUCGAGUACGCGCCUCCGGGGGAUCGAGGGCUGCCGCCGCUCUUCCUCUUCGUCCUCGACACUUGUUUGGUGGAGGAGGAGCUCACUUUCUUGCGGACGUCGCUCAUCCAGGCCAUCGCGCUAGUUCCUCCCAAUGCAAUGGUGGGACUUAUCACGUUUGGGACACACGUCCACGUCCACGAGCUCGGGUUUUCGGCCUGUGCCAAGAGCUACGUGUUUAAAGGCUCGAAAGAGGUGACCAAGGAACAGAUAUUGGACCAGCUCGGGCUCGUUUCUUUCCACCACAAGAGCGCGGGUGUGAUUGCCGGGCCCAAGGAUGGACUCUCCGCCAGCAGCAUCAACAGGUUUUUGCUUCCUGCUUCCGACUGUGAAUUCACUCUAUCAGCAGUAUGUUUUUUUCAUUUUGUUUAUUUCUCUUUUCUUUGCUGGUUUUCUGUUCGCUGGGAUCGAUCUCUAACGCAAAAUUUUUGGCUGCGCAGUUGCUCGAGGAGCUACAAAAGGAUGCUUUUUCGGUUGCGUCGGAUAAGAGAGCUUCCAGAUGCACCGGUACUGCGCUGAAUGUCGCCGCUGGGCUGCUCAAUGCUUGUGUCCCUGGCACGGGUGCUAGAAUUAUGGCCUUUGUUGGCGGUCCAUGUACCGAGGGGCCUGGAAUGGUAACGUGUUUUUUUUUUCUUCGAAAUCUUGCUGUAACAAUUGUAAAAUGCGCAGAUCGUUGGUAGUGAACUAUCGGAACCAAUUCGUUCUCACAAGGAUAUUGCAAAAGACGCAGUGCCUUACUUUCACAAAGCCAUCAAGUUCUACGAGGGAUUAGCCAGUCAGCUCGUAAACCAAGGCCACGUACUUGAUGUUUUUGCUUGCUCACUCGAUCAGGUAUAUAGCCUUUCUUUGUUUGUGGCGUAUGCUGAUGAUAUGUACUGCUAGGUGGGAUUGGCAGAGAUGAAGGUGGCUAUUGAAAGAAGCGGGGGCCUUGUCGUCUUGGCAGAAAGUUUUGGCCAUAUGGUUUUCAAGGAGUCCUUGAAGCGUUUAUUCGAGGAAGGGGCUAGUUCGCUUGGCCUGUCUUUCAAGUACGUGAUGACAGACUUCCAUGUACAAGAUGUGAUUUCUCGCCUUGCAGUGGGAUCUUCGAAAUAUCAUGCUCAAAGGAAGUGAAGAUUCAAGGAAUUAUUGGUCCGUGCUCGUCAAUGGAAAGGGUUGGUUCGUUCUUUUUGCGAAAAUGUAGUGCUAAAAUUUUUUUCGGUGCAGAAAGGACCCUCGGUUGCCGAUACUGUUAUCGGACAAGGAAACACUACAGCUUGGAGAAUGUCUGGACUAGACAAGAACACGGCGUUGACAGUGUUUUUCGAUGUAGCCUCCCCGACUACACAAGAAGCUUCCAAAAGCUUCUACUUACAGUUCGUUACAAGUUACCAGCACAGUGAUGGCCAAACGAGAUAUCGGGUUACUACUGUUACCAGGGCGAUGGUAGACGGUGCUAUAAACACAGAGGUAUUUCGAAAAAUCUUGUUUGUCAUGGUUCUCAAGCUAUUGGACAAUGAUGUAGAGUCUCCAAGAAGGUUUCGAUCAGGAGGCAGCAGCAGUCAUCGUGGCAAAGCUAGCUUGCCAUCGAAUGGAGGCUGAGGUAGUUACUGCUGCAUUGUAAUUUCUCGGAGCUUACUUGUUUUUUUUCUUUAUUUUGUAGGACGAAUUUAAUCCCAGUCGAUGGCUUGAUAGGUUAUUGAUUCGACUAUGCUCUAGAUUUGGUGACUAUCGGAAAGAUGAUGCGAGCUCUUUCCGUCUGAGCUCUAAACUCUCGCUCUUUCCCCAGUUUAUGUUUAAUCUUCGGCGAUCUCAAUUUGUUCAGGUUAGUCACCCCAUACUUGUAUCAUUUGUUCGUGUCUCAAGUGCUGUUUUCCAGGUUUUUAACAACAGUCCAGACGAGACUGCGCACUUCAGAAUCCUUUUAGACAGAGAAACAGUGACGAAUUCCCUGUUGAUGAUUCAACCGUCCCUCGUGUCGUAUUCCAUGAGCGCGCCACCUUCGCCAGCGCUACUGGAUGUGGCGGCCAUUGCCGCUGAUCGUAUCCUUCUCCUGGAUGCGUACUUUAGUGUGGUUAUAUUCCACGGAAUGACGAUUGCACAGUGGCGAAAUUUGGGAUACCAAAACCAACCUGAAUACAAGGUUAGAGGGGUCCUUUUUCUUCUCAUCUUGUUCUAACGGGUUAAGCUUUAGGAUUUUGCGGACCUUCUUCAAGCUCCUCACGCUGAUGCGGAAGCCAUUUCGAAGGAAAGGUUCCCCGUUCCACGCCUUGUCGUCUGCGACCAACAUGGUUCUCAGGUAAAAACUGUUUGUGGCUUUUGAUGGAUUCAAUAUCUCUUGUUGUGUUGCAGGCCCGAUUUUUGCUAGCACGGCUGAAUCCAUCGGCUACAUACAACAGCGCACCGGCUGGUGCCGAGCUUAUAUUCACGGACGACGUGAGCCUUCAAGUUUUUCUCGAGCAUCUUCAAAGGCUGGCGGUGGUCGCGCAGAAUUGAUGCGAUUCAUUUGCUGAAAUAAAAGUUCUUAUUUUACCUCCGACCACCUUGGUUCCCUUUUUCAAAUAUGAAGGGGAUGAAGAUUUCUCCAUAUACAAUAGCAAUUGAAAACUAGAGAUCCAUUGCAUUGUACAGUUGGGAUCCAUGUAUUAUUAUUCAUUCAUUCAUUAGUCUUAUAAAGUUUUGCAGCAAUCACUCUAAUUAGAUUGCUUGAGUACAAGUGGCUCAACUUUCAGAAGAUUAACUGGCUAUGCCAUAACAUGUGUAUAUGACAUAUUAGUAUUUUUUGUUUCGAAAACUAAUUCCCUGAGUGAGGGCUCAAUUGCCUCCUGAUUCAUAUUGCUUAAUACAAAUGGAACACUCUAAUAUUGUUUUUUUCGUCUGUUACAAUUGUUUGUUCAACUAUUUACAUCCAGCACAAGCUGCAAGAGUUUAGCUUGGAAACGAGUGGUGGCUUUUGUGAAGGCCUAAAGACGUUCGUACUAAGACAAAUUGGUAUGCAAUGACUCCAUUUCCCUCAUGUAUGAGCAUGGUUAAUGCUACAAAAUAUGCUAUCUACAGGGCAUCCAUCAACCCAGCUACUUGGAUUUCUUAUGACCACUGUGCACCUUGGAUCCACAAGUUGGCAACUUACCAGUGCAGAGCACACUGCCUCCGAGUUAAGCAAGGGCAUCACCAUCGUCCAUGAAUUACCAAUGUCCACUAUACGAGUCACUGCAGGACUAGACAUCAACUCUACCCUGGGAGGAGCACGACAAGGAAAUGGAGUGGGUAUGCACUACACAUGAAGACUAGAGGGACACAAGAGAGCUAAAAUGCAUUGCAUGCAUGUCCUUUACUCCUUGGUUGGGCUCUGAGUGGACUAUAAUAUUGUCCUAGACUCCUUACAAAAUUGCUCUACUCUUUUGCUUAUUGUAAUAAAUUAAUUGCCUAAAAAAUAAGUAAGCUAAAAUAACCUUAAACUAAGUAUAGUAACUAUAAUCUCACAGUCAAACCACUUCCAAAAUUGUAUGAAAAUCUAGAAUAGAGAUUGAUGGGAAAUGGAUUUAGAAGCUCAUCUACCGAGUGCAAAGGAUUUUGUAGAUAAUCCCAUCUCUUAUGACUAAACAACUAGCUCCUCUGAUCUGUCAAGAGCAGCAACAACUUGCUCCAUUCCCUUAGUAAAGCAGCUAGGGUUGCUUUGUUGAGCCUUGGCCAUGAAUGCGAGCUCCAAGUGGUAAGUAGCCUAACUUCUCCUGGACUUGGUUUUUGACUAUCUACCAUUCUAAGCAUCACAUAACAAGAAGAGAAAGACAUUCACCUCUUGGAUCUGCCUCUAAAAUCUCUUAUUACAGAUUGUUUAUAACUUCAAUUCCUCUCCUAGACUGUGAUUCUUUCCAAUUACUCCAUUCUGAGCUAUUUACCAUCAAUAUGAGCUUGUUCUUCAGCUGAUACAGCCUUUCCAUAAGCAAGAAAUUUACAGUCCAUUCCAUGGCAUUUUGAUGGAAAUUUAUAGUCCAUUUACCCCUACUUCUUUCUAAACCAAAUUGGCUCCCAAUUCUUACAUUCUAGCUUGCAGUGACUUGUUCACUAGAAAAUGGCUAACUAAAUGGAUCAUAUUGCAAUACAAUGGUGAUAUAGUUAGAUUUAUUUAAAUUAUUAUUCUCAAGCUGUGAGUGGGAUAUAGGAAUAUGUGUGCUUUUACAAGUGGGAGUGCUAUAUAUUAAUUGGGGUUUAGAGCUUUGCUUAUAUACAAGAACGGAUGGAUUAAAUUACAUCCCAAAUAGAUGGUCUAUAUACUUAUAGUAUUAUAAUUAAUGUAUUACCUACCUAAGGUAAUACAUGUAUACACAAUAUAUAUAUUUACAAACCUUACAGCAUCUUCCCUUCUAGAAGAUAAAAAAAGGUGAUGAUAAUAAGUCAAAUGGAAUACUUAGAGCUUUUGUUGUGUUGUUAUAAACCACAAUAUGAAUUUGAAACUCCCACAAAACCAUUAAUAAAGUUAUUGAUAACUAUGAUUGAAACUAAACCCAAAGCCAUGACAUAAAUAUUAGCCAACUACGGAAUCCUGAUGCAUCAGUUGCAACUCUAGCCAAAUGCUUAAAUGAAUCAUAAAGUUAUAAUUUUGAAUCCAAACAAAGGAUUUCACAAACAACUGUAAUCUAUAAAAUACCAUUGUAGCAAAUGAUAUAUUUUGCCUUCUAUGCCUUUAUUGCUUGCUAAUAAUCCUUUGAAACAACUGUUAACUCAAACUUACGACUAUAAAUAAAACUUGUCUCUACAUCUUCCCUUCAAUCAACAUCCAAGACCCAUAUUAAUUUAGACUCAUGACUGUUGUCUUCAUGUACUAUUGCACAUAGGAGGUUAAAUUCACUCCAUUUGUCUUUCACAUCCUUUUAUCCCCUCUUCAAAUGAAAAAAAAAGUUCUAAAGCACCAAUUUUAUUUAGACUUGUUAUGAUUAUUUUCACUCCGCCAUUUAUGUUUAGCCUCACUCCACUAUUAUAUUCAUUUGGCCUCUCUAUGUUAGAGCCAAAUAUUCCAUUUAGAAUUCACUAUGCUUAUCUUUACUUCACAAUCCAUAGCAUUCAUCCUCAUUCCACUUUUGUAUUUACUCAUUCUCACUCUAUUGUCGGGGCUGGACUCUCAUCUAUCACCCCUUCCUCUAAAGAAAAAAAAGUUUGAAGUAUCGAGGCAGAAAAAUAAAAAUGAGAAAAAUUAAGGAAAAAAAAUUGUGGCAUAUGCUUAAAACUUGGAAAAUAAGGGAUUUCCUAUCAUAAAAUAUUUUGGCCACCAUAAUAUAAAUAAAAAAUUCAUAUCAUUCAAACACACAACUCAACACUUGAGACAGAAAAAUUAAUAACAACAUUCACACUCUUAAGGGAAUAUAUAAACUCCUCAACAACAAUGUAAAACAAAAGCUCUUCACAAUACUAAAAAAUGGGGAUAUGCAUUCAACCUAAAAUUUUAACAAAAGUGACUCAACCUUUGGAACAGAGGAAUACUUAACACAAAAAUUGAUCAAAGACUUUGCUAAUAAAACAAAAGUAAAUUUUUUAACUUUAUGUACAUACUCAACAUUUAAAUUAAUAUUUAAAUUAGUAUGAGGAAGACAAAAAACACUCAAUUUAACAUUGGACUAAAAAUAAAAAUCAUAAAAGUAAAAAAUGAUCAAUAUAUAAAAAAAAGGAAAUAUUGCAAAUGAGGAAGGAACACUAAAAACAUGAGAAGGUGGCUCAGGCUGAGAAAUAAAAAAAAGUUGGAAAAUAUUAGAAGGUAAGGAGAAAGGAUUAAAUGGCAAAUUAAAUGAUUAACACCUACCCCAUGAAAUCAUUUCUAAAGUUAUCUUCAUAAUAAUCAAGCUUGUCAUCACAAUCCGAAGUCCACUUAAACUCAUACACAUCAUCUUCCCAGAAACUCAAUCCUUGAAUAUUCUCCAAGAACUAGACUAUAUCAUCCAUAUCUCACCAAUUGAUGUCAUGAUUAUACUUCACAUCAACAGAAUAUGGCAAAACAUUGAUAAUAGAACAAGUUGUAUAAUCACAUUUUAUAGAAGUUAGAAAUAACAACACACCAAGGACAAGUGUAACACUAGUAUGAUCACACCCCACAAUAAUAAAAGUUUGAUAUAAUGGAACACCCCAAGUGAUAUACUCUUUAAUUGAUGAUGGUAUGGCAUGGUAUAAGAAGAGAAUGCAAUGAAGAUCAAAAGAAAGAAUAAAUUUAAGCACAACAAUAGCUAAAUUUCUAAAUCUUGCAAAAAGCUAAUAUAGAUCUAGAUUUAAAAAAGAAUGAAGAAAUUACAAUAAAAAACACAAUCUUGAACACUAAAGCAAAGUAAUGCCAAAAAGCUUUACUUUUCAAAGAUAAAUUGUACAGUGGUUAUGAUGUUGUAUACUAAUAUUAGUGUACUGGGAUUUUAGUAACCGUCAGAUUGGUUUCAAUCCGGACCACUUGCUCUUAUAUAUAAGCUAUGGUUUUUAAGCUAAUUAAUAUGCAUAUUUUUUGUAUUCCAUUUUCAUAUUCCAUGCACUCAUAUUGGUGAAGGUGAGGGGCACCUUUUGAUUGUCCCUAAGGAGUGCUUGGAUUUGGGAUUUUGGUUCAGAUCUAGCUUUUACAUCGUUUAGAUAUAAUUUUUUCCAUUUUCUUUCUUUUAUUCUUUCCUUCAAGAAGUUUGGUUUUGAUUUAGCUUUUUGCAUUGUCUAGAUCUCCCCUUUUUUCUAGCUUUUUGUCAUUUCUCUUCUUUUUUUCUUUCCUUUUCAUUUAUCUUCAUAGCAAAUCAGCAAUCUCCUCUUUUGACUCUAGAGCAGCAGUUGGUACAAUUUCUUGAUGCUAUGCGCUUGCAAUUGAACAACCAAACUCAAUUGAUGGUGGCAUUCAUGGCACGUGGUCCAACUUCUCCUGCUCUUGGUGCCAAUCCUCGCAUUUAGCCGGAGUUCUUUUGUAAAAAUAUUGGGGAUAAUGUGUACCAUUGGUUUAAUCUCUUCACGGUGAUUGCCACAUAUCAUUCUUGGGAUGAUGCUUGACAUUUGCAUGAGUUUCCUACGUGUCUCCAAGGGACAGCACUGCAAUGGUACAAUGGUUUGAGUGCAGCCACUCGUGGGGAUUGGAGUGUUCUCCCAAAUGUCUUCAAACGUGCAUUUAAACAUGCUGACAAUUGUGAUGAUGCCUUCCAGCAAUUGCAUUGUCUUCGUCAAGAACCAUCUAAGUCGGUGAUGCAAUUUGGCGUUUGUUUCCGAAACCUCUUGCUUUGUGCAGAGCCAAAUAUAUCAAAGCGGAUCAAGCUAGGAAUGUUGUGGCCAACACUUCGUCAAGAUCUUGUCAGAAUUAUGCAUGCACUUGCUCUAGCCACCCUUGACGAUGCUUUUCGUUUGGCACAAUGUUAUAAGAUGUCGCCUCUUCCCCUUCUCGCUGCACAUCCUUCAGCUCCACUUUCUGUAGGUGAUGGUCCUGUUCCAAUGGAGGUUGAUGCUGCUGUUGCUUGAGUCUAAGGACAAGGACGAGGACGUGGUCGUGGCUGUGAUAUUUGAUGUUAGGCAUGUGAUGAAGUUAGUCACACUUAUCGGCGUUGUUGGCAUUUUCCAGAUUGGUGACUUCCAUUUCCUGGGUGGAGACUUUGGCGUCAACAAUGUCCUAUUGGUGCUGCUGCAGUGGAAGGUCUGGACACCAAGAUGCAUCUGGGAAACGAGGAGUCACGCGAGUAAUAGAGGGACCUUGCACAAAUAAGUCAAUGACCCCUCCAUCUUUUUUUCGGGAGUAUCAUCAAGGGGUUCACUCAGCACCAGUUUAUAUAGUGUUUACUUUCCAAGCUCAUUUUUAUAAUAAGAGGUUUCUUAUUAUUCUCCCUAUGUUGGUUGAUACAGGUUCAAGUUUAUCUUCUAUUGCUCGACCUAUUGCCACACAUUGCCAUCUACACUUGCAUCGUGCGGCAGAACCAAUUUUCAUUCUUUAUGGCAACAAUCAUACACAUGCAUGUGCACGGGAUGAGGUAGAUCUAGUUGUGUGUGUGGGCGAUCUCGAGCUUGGGUUGCAGUCAUUGUGGGUGGUGCCAACUCAAGCUUUUGAGCUCAUCCUUAGUAUGGAUUGAUUGCAACACAAUUAUGCCAAGUGUGACUUUGAGGCUUCUCCCCUUUGUCUCAUACUUCUUUAUAUUUCAUCCAUUCCUUUCACUUUUGUACUUUUUCAUCCUUUUACUUUUACUUUUACUUCCAUUACUUUUGUCCCCCCACUAAUUCCUUUUAUGUUUCUAUCCUGUUUUGCUCUUCCUUUUUUCAAUCCCUCUAACAAUCUUUGUGCUGCAAUAGUUGACUAGCUCAUGGAGUAUUUUGAUCUCUUUGAAUUUGACUUAUCAUCUAGGGCCAAGAUUACCACACAUUAUCUGAUUCUAACCAAGGAUGCUUGUCCAAUCAAAGUUCUUAUUCAUUGUUGGUCACCCAAAGAGAUCAAGAUUUUACGUGCAAACAUCAAGGAAAUGUUGGAGAAGGGUGUUAUUAGGAAGUUGCGGAGUCCUUGGGUAUGUGAACCUCAUUUUGUAACAAAGCUUGAUGGGAAUAUUCAUUUCUGCAUCGACUAUCGUCCAUAAACGAAGUGACAAUCCUGAAUGUGUACCCUCUUCCUCAUACUACUAAUCUCUUGGAUCGUCUAAGGCGACGUUGUUGGUUCACCAAGCUCAAUCUUACUUCUGGGUACUGGCAAGUACCAAUGGCCAAAGAAGAUAUUCCUAAAAUUAUUUUUCAUAUACCAUUUGGUUUGUAUGAGUUUUUGGUGAUGCUGUUUUAUUUGAACAAUGCUCCAACAACUUUCCAAUAGAUGAUGGACAAAGUUGUUUGCGAUAUGCCAAAAGUGACUGUUGGCUUUAUUGAUGAUGUCUUGAUUCACUUAGAGGGGACAUGGGAAAAGCACGUUUGUGAUGUUUAUAAAGUGUUGGAUCAGCUAUGAGAUGUUAGUUUAAAAUUGAAGUGGUCAAAGUACAUGUUUGGGUCCAAGAACACAACUUAUCUUAGGUACCAUAUUUCUUAUGAGGGUUUGCAAGUUAAUAUUGACAAACUUGUGGCUAUUCUACAGUUCUCUACUCCGAAGUGUGUGAAUGAUGUGCAACACUUCUUGGGCAAGGUGUAGUAUCUCGGUCAUUUGUGGAUCAUCUUUCUGAUCAUAUUGCAUCGUUGCAAGCAUUGCUGAAGUCAUCAACAUCAUCUUUCAUCUAGUCUCCGGAUUGUGAGUGGGCGUUCAUGGAUCUCAAAGAGCUCUUGACAACUCCUCCAGUUUUAGCAUAUCUUGACUAUAUUUGACCUUUUAUAUUGCGCAUGGAUGCUUUUGGUAUUGGUCUUAGAGAUGUGUUGAUGUAAGAAAGCCCAAGUAUGCUUGGUCAGUGCCAUUCCAAUUUGUAUAAUAUUACAACUAGCAUAGAUGAAUUAUUCCACGACAAAGGAGUGUUUAGUAGUAGUCUGGGGUUUCAAAAAACUUCAUACAUAUCUACAUGGUUCUCGGACGUUACUUGAAGGUGAUCAUGUUGCCAUUACUUCAUUAUUAAAGUGAAAGAACCUGGUUCGUCGUAUUACUUGGUGGACUUUGAAGCUUCAGAUAUAUGAUUUUGAUGUUGUUCAUCGCUCAGGGAGUUUUAUGGCUGAUGCUGAUGCCCUUUCGCGAGCUCCUAUUCCUUCUCUACUCUCUUUUCAUGUUUCUAAUGAGCCUGUUGUUCCAACAUUUAUGGAUUUUCUAGAUGAGGAUUAUAUGCCGUUGGCAGUUGCUAUACUUGACGUUCAGUGUCCACAAGGCGCAGAGCAAGAUCUACCUUCUCUUGAUGAGGUUUAUGAAGCUUAAAAGAAUAAGCCAUGGAUUCAAAGGGUUCAAGAUAGGUUUGAGAAUCUUGCAUCACUUACUAAUGAUUUACCAUUCCAGCAUUUAUAUUUUUAAUAUCACUUUGAGGACAAUGGCUUUCUUUAUUUUGUGAGGACUGAUCCUAAUGAUCCUUUACAGCUAAUAGUGUCUUAUGUUUUUAUUCCACGUUUUCUCUAUGCUUACCAUGAUUCUCCUGUUCUAGUAGGCAUAUAGGACAUGGAAUAUAUAUAUAUAUACACAUACAUAUAUAUAUACAUAUAUACAUACAUAUAUACAUAUAUACAUACAUAUAUAUAUAUAUACAUAUAUACAUACAUACAUAUAUAUAUAUAUAUAUAUAUAUAUAUAUAUAUAUAUAUAUAUAUAUAUAUAUAUAUAUAUAUAUAUAUAUAUAUAUAUAUAUAUAUAUAUGUAUAUAAUUUAAUAUAAAUUGUAAUAUCUAAUAUAUUUUCAAUAGAACUAUAAGCUUACUAAAAAAAAUUAAAUCCAUUAUAUUACUACUAAUUGUUUUUGUAAAUUUCUUAGAAAAUUAUAUCUGGUUUUAUGCAAAAUUUACGUGUAAUCUCAUUUUCUUUUUAUAUAAUUUUUUUUCUUUAGAAAAGAACAUGUGAUUUUGGUUGUGAAUGUAAACUUUUUAAAUUAGUUGUGCCAAAUGACACAACUAUAGACUAAUAACUUAGUUCCAGCAAAUAAAUUUCUUAAGAAUGGAUUAAAUGCUCAUUCAGACAAAAGAAACAGAAUAUACUUCCCAUUGGAAUUAUAAGAAAUGGCACUGAGAAAUGGUUGUCAACUUGAGAGCGUUUCUGUGCUGAAUAACAAAUAUUUUUCCGUUCGGUGAGUUCUCAUAGCUCUGAACGAACGAAUGGGAUGGCAGACAUGCAAGUUCGAUUUGCUGUUUUAUCUGCUUUGAACGAUAUUUCGAUACCUUGCAUUCAAUCUGUCAAGGUAAGUUAAGCCUACAAGAAAGCAGCCACCACACCAAUUCUGCUGGUGGUCUGGGUUACAGUGGCGGCAGCUUGUACACACAUACGUAGAACAUUUCUGUCAGUCCACUUAAACCCCCUUGGAUACAAUCGCUUUGGCGUGCUCGCAUAAAACUUUGGCAAUGGAGCUCGACAGUGUCCCAAAAAGAUGUAAAGUCUGGCUCUGCUACAAUGUUGGGUUCAUUCAACAGCAGAGAAGCAGUUGGAGUGGGAGAGCAUGUGAAGAUCAGAAGUUAGCAGAUCUAUCCAAUUAUAAAACUAAAAAGAAGGAAAACUAUAGUUGCUAGGUUCCAGGGCCACCAUGUGUUGCGAGCAGAAUCUCUAGGAGCUAGAAGAGCUUCUUCGUGCAUUCAUUGGAAUCGAGACAUUUGAGGGAGUGGCAGUGGUGUCAUUUUCAAGAAGGCGCUGGUCGCUGGUCGGUCGGUAGUUUGGUUCAAAGUUCAGACCUUCCAGCAGCACGACUUGCUUCCUCCCUGUUUUGUCAAGCGCCUCCAAUUGGUGAAGGUGACGGUGAAGGUGACGGCAGCGGUGGUAGUGGCGUACCGUGCGUAAUGGUUGGUGCUUCGAUCAUCUUCCCCAAAACUUUUCUCUUCCUCCUUGUGGGAGUUUGAGAAGUCUGGGAAAGCUCUUUAAAUUAUUUCGGGAAGAACAUGGUGGGCGGUGGGGAGAACAUGAGACACUGUUCCACUCGCUCACACAACUCACUUGCAUCAAUGAUCGUCAAGUUCGUAGCGUAAGCUGAUAGCUAGCCUUUCUCUACCUGAAUCAUGGGCUUCUUUUCAACUUUUUUUUUUUUUAUUUGGAAUUUAAACAGCAGACAUUUGUGGAUUGUGUGUGUCGUCUGCCGCCACAGGUCCAGAAAGUGUCCCCGCAGCGAGAUCUGAACUCUGAAACCGAAGGGGCUUCUGUUUCUUGCUGUGCUAACUCACCCGUCGGCAUCAGAUUCAGUCGCUUAUAUAUACACUUCGAAAUUGCAAAUGUCGCUUUUCCUAUGAAUACUAUCCAUCAUUCAAUGGCCACAUGAACUCGAAAGCAACAAGACGACGAUCCUAAGGUUGAAUCAUCAAUUUUUCUGGUUUGGUUCCAUCAACAAACUUAGGGGGACAGGUUGGACCACUCGAGCUUUUUCCUCGCCCAACUUGGGAUCACAGUUUCGCUUUGAGUGUGACCCAAGAGAACUUUGAUCCAGUGCAACUUGCAACUUCAUCACUCCGUACUGCUCUAUUUCCUUCAAGGAAAUUUUGUUCGUACGCUGCAUGUGGCCGACGGACGUGGCGGGCAGGAACCAAUGACCGUUAUUCCGUCGCAAUCCCACCCGCCACUCCCACGACGCCACGUCACGGCCCUGUUUCUUCGUUGUCUGGGAAGAAAGAAAAUGUUUUCGUUUAUCUUCGAAAGCUUCACAUGGAAAUGAUACCGAGACACGUUCUCACGUGGCCGUGGGAUCAGAGUUUCUCCGGAGAGAUGCCGAAAGAUUCGGCUGGGAUUCCCUUGUUGAAUCCCAUGGCACCAAUGCGUUGAAAUGGAGUGACAUGGGAGUGGGGUGCACGACGGACGAAACUUUCUUCUCUCCAAUUGGCCGGCACUUUGAUUUGUCUUUUUGGGGUUCCACUCAUGGGAUAGAUUACAAUUUACAUCUUUAAAAAAAUGUGGAAAGCUUUCCACCGAUUUUUUUUCUUUUCUUUAAUCGCUUUGCAACAACGACAACGGCCAACUGAAAGAACAUGGAUUCGAUUCAAGCGUUGCUCGCCAGAUGUUUUAUUUGGAUUUGGGGCAAUCUAAGGCGUUCGUUUGGAAGGUUUGAUAAUUGUUACGACCCGGCUCCUUGAUCAACCAAAGUAGAAAAUGGUUUGCUUGGAUUGAAAUUCCUUGAAGAUGCGCCCGCCAUAUUAUCCAAACUUUGGAAGCAUCAUCGCCGCCUUCGACAUACAUUGUCUUAGUGGAUUCCAUCUCUAUCUAAGAUAGAUUCCAUUUCCAUUUCAUUUGGAAACUUCAAUCUCAAGAGCAACGAUUUGCUGACUGGGCGUGGUAAAAACCAUGCCUUUUUACUCCUCUUUUACCACGCCAGUCAGUGGUCACGCUCUCCGCAAAAUCCAACACGCCGCCACGCCACGACCAUUAUAGAAAAUGCAUGUGUGGAUGAAUCAUCAAACACAGGGAAGCAAAGAAAAAAAAAAAAAGCCUUUUUACUUUUGACUGCAGUUUUUACCAUCUCCACUACUUACACGCCCUCGGUCAAAGUAAAAAUCGGCGCUCCUCCCAAAACCCAACCAACCAACGUUUCACCUUGUUCUGUUAUUUCCGUUGAUCAGACAGUGGCUGUCCGUUAGUUUAAUUCGAAGCUUUCCGCCCGAAAACACUCGAGCGAUGGAGAGAACGCCCCACCAAAACGCUCCCGGGAUCCAGCUAAGUCACGCUUUCUUUGAGCGGUCCCAAUGCGGCGGCCCGGGGAUCGCCCGCUAGCUUAGCGAUUUGGCCGAGCGAUCGCCUCCCCCCUCGCCGUAUAAAAACCCCCCUCUCUUGUUGAGCCAUUCAUCCAUCCAUUUCAUUCAUUCAAUUGCCCAUCCUUUCCCUCUUUUUCUCGCCUUCUUUCUUUCUUUCUUUCUCCCAUUCGAUUGAUCGCUCCCCCUCGCCUUCCUCUCUCGCGAUCCGCGAGUUCUUGGGCUGGAUUUCGCAGCGGCAGGGUCUUGAUUCCUCUGUUUCUUUGGCGACAAGGCGAGGAUACGAAGAUUCUCCGCGCCGUCUGCCGAAAUUUCGACCUGCAUUGCGCGAAAUCCAGCGAUCCACCGGGUUUUUCUCUCCCGAUUCGUCUCUCCAGCUCCCAUUCGAUCUCGUCUUUGCCGGAUUCUUGGAUGGAUCGCCCGGCCAGAGUCUUGCUUCUUGUUCUUGCGUGCUGCUGCGCAUCGCUCUUCUUCUCGCUCGCCGCCGCCUCGAGAGCGCUCAAGGAUCAUCGACACCAGGGAUUCAACGCUAGCGCCAGCGCCAGCGGAGCCAUCGAUAAUCCCAGGUCCGAUUUCUUCCCCAGGGUUUCUUGUUUCUUGGAUGCUUCGAUUCCUCGUUCUUGUCUGGAUCAAUGCCCCUGCUUGGGCGAGAUUUGGAGGAAUUCCUUUCGGAUUUCCAGUCCCAUUCCUGUUAGCUGGAGCAUUAGGUGAGAUGUGUUGAUUGUCGAGACAGAGUAGUCGUUGUUCUUCUGGUGGAUUUCCACCAGGGAGAUUCGAACCCCUGGUCUGGUCUCACUCUUACUGCCGUGAUUCGAACGCGCGUCCUCUUUGUCCUUUGAAAAAAAUUCGACUCACUCCGGGCUUUUUUUCUCUCAGAGGGAAUGGCACACAAAGGAGGGAAGCGUUCUCGCUACUGGGCUGUGGCAGCAGCGGCAAUCCGAUCGACGACUGCUGGCGCUGCGACCCAAACUGGCACAACAACCGCAAGCGCCUGGCCGAAUGCGCGAUUGGAUUCGGCCGCAACGCGAUUGGGGGUAAGAACGGGGAGAUCUACGUCGUCACCGACUCGAGCGACGACGACCCAGUGAACCCCAAGCCCGGCACGCUGCGCUACGGCGUCAUCCAGUCGGAGCCGCUGUGGAUCAUCUUCGAGCGCGACAUGAGCAUCCGGCUGAGCCAGGAGUUGAUCGUCAACAGCUACAAGACGAUCGAUGGGCGAGGCGCCAACGUGGAGAUUGCUCACGGCCCCUGCAUCACGAUCCAGUACGUGUCCCACGUCAUCGUCCACGGCAUCGCGGUCCACGAUUGCAAGCCUGGGGGACCGGCGAUGGUGAGGAGCAGCACGACUCACUUCGGAUGGAGGACGGUGUCGGACGGGGACGGGAUUUCCAUCUUUGGAUCCAACAACAUCUGGGUGGAUCACUGCACGCUCGCACGCUGCACUGAUGGUCUCAUCGACGCCAUCAUGGCUUCCACGGACAUUACCAUUUCAAACAACCAUUUCAGCGACCACGACAAGGUGUGUGCUCUGCUCUCUCUUUUUUCUCCAAAGUAUUCCUUGUUUACAGCAUUUCCCCGGACUGGGUUCUUGCAUGGAUGUUUUUUUUCUUGAUGUGUUCAUGCGUUCUUUGCUCGCCAGAUUGCUUGGGUGAUUGUUUCCGUUAUGUGUUCUUGUGUGUUUGCUCGCUAGAUUGCGUGUCUUGGGAGAUUUCUGGUAGCGUAACUGGUUUUUCUCACGCUUGAGUUGUCGAUUUGCAGGUGAUGCUCCUGGGACACAACGACGAUUACACUGCGGACCGGGCAAUGCAAGUGACUGUAGCUUACAAUCACUUUGGACAGGGUUUAGUCGAAAGAAUGCCGAGGUCAGCCUCAUCCUUUUGCUUUCUUAGCGCACGGGUUUGGCUUUUCUAAACUGGAUUUCGUUUUCUUCUUUUGCUUUUGUAGAUGCCGACACGGAUACUUCCACGUCGUCAACAACGAUUACACCGAGUGGAGGAUGUACGCCAUUGGAGGCAGCGCGAACCCCACGAUUAACGCCGAAGGCAAUAGAUUCUUUGCGGGAUUCAACGAAAACUCGAAAGAGGUAACUCUUUACAACCUUUUGUUUGUAUUUACAAACCUCAUGUUUGCUUCUAAACAGAUAACAAAGCGAGAGUACACGGAGCAAUCCAUAUGGAAGAGCUGGAACUGGAGAUCCGAGGGGAACUUGUUCAUGAAUGGAGCGUACUUCAUCACGUCUGGAGCUGGAUCCGGGUCGGUCUACGGCAAGGCCUCGAGCCUCGCCGCCAAGCCCGCGGCCUACGUUGGUGAGCUAACUCUCUCGGCAGGAGCACUUCUCUGCGGCAUAGGAUUUCCAUGCUGACUUGAGGAUGAUCAUCGCCAUCGCCAGUCGUCAUCAGCAGCUGUACAGCAGUACUCCUAUAGCUCCUCGAUCGGUCUCGCCCUCUUAAUUAGCCACUGCGGACUACGAUUUUUUUGAAGGUCUCAGACGGAAUAAGCGGUGUUCCAUCGCUAGAGGGAUGGUUACACGAUGGAGAGGGAGAGAGAAAGAGAGGAGCUCCAUCUCUCUUUUCCAUCUCCAUGGAAGCAAGAAGAAGAAGGAAAGUCUGGCAACCUCGGCCGGGAAUGGAAGAACACUGGAAAGAGUUCUCCAGCCUUGGCGCGGAAGCGUUGUUUGUUUGCUCUUUCCAUAUGAAACAAAGAAAAGUUUUUAAGUACCUCCGGAAGUUUUAGUUUUGCUUGAUUAUAACGCGAAGAACUUGUUCUAGCUCUUGCUUCCCUUGUGCUUCAACGCUGCUGGGCACAAGUUACUAAUCAAGCAGUCGCCACAGCGAGGACGAAGUGGAGUGCAAAUGGUCUGACCAAAUCCAACCUGCGAAGAAAGUUGAUACAGAACAAAACAUGGAACAAAAUCGAACCAGCAAUGGAUUGAUCGGAACCCAUUCUUCCCUCGGCAGCCACGACUCUAGCGAGAUCCGCGUCUCCUCUGGAGUUUUCGUGUCCUUUCAAAGCAAACAAGUAUGGAUCACAGUCUAGAGAGAACUUUGCUGGAAGAAACAACGUACCAAGCGUUUCUUGGAUGUUGAUUUUGGAUGUGAGACCCAUUCCAGCCGGUUUGUGAUCCGGUGGACGUGAGUGUCGACACAAAUGCCAUGCACGCUCUCCCAGCCGACGUUCAUCACCUAGAUAAAGUUUUGGAACUCCGAAGGAACAAAAGGAAGAACUUUGUUUUACCAGAUGAGCCAUCUUUGGGCCGAUUCCAGGAAGAGCGAGGAGUUCACUGAGCGUUUUAGGAAUGUCUCCUUGGUACUUUUCCAGGCACAGUGCCGCAACUUUCUUGAGAUAACUGGCCUUUCUCGCAUAGAAGCCAACCUUUCACGGGUCACAGAAUCAGAAAAAAGUCGCGAACGUCAGAGUUUUCCGCACCGGAUAGAUCGCAUCUCUGAUUGUCGACUCUUCGGCUUUGGAGAGAUCUUCCAUCGACAACAAGUGCCGCUCCGAAAGCCGCUUCAUUGCACCUGAGCAGGCUUAAAGUUAAGAUCCGAGGGGUAUAGGGAACGAUCAGAGUAUCAAAUAAUAAACACCAUGGUUUACUUCGUCCUUAGUCUGGCUGGAGAGCAGCGCAGAUAUGAGAACUGCAACUCUUCGCUCCUGAAAAGCGAAGAAAAUCCAUUUUGUUCUUCCAAGAAAGAAGAAGAAGAAACUAAAAACCUUUGGUGGAAGAGAGAUUCCAGCUUUCUCGCAUCCCAUGGAGUCGACUGGGGCAUCCUCAGAAGCUCUCAUUUUUCGUAUCCCUUCCAAAACUUCUUUCCACUUUGGAGGCUCUCCUGUUAGAUGAUUACUUUGCUACAAGCAAAGAUGGAAUAGAAUUGAAUAGAAGCGCUACCUUUCUUCUUUAAAUCCAUAGCUUGAUUGCCAUCGUCACAAUUUCCCUAUCGAAAGGAAUGAAAAAAAGAAAGAAAGAGAAAGAAAGAAUGCGAACCUCGUAAGAGACUUUUACAAAUGCACGCUUGGAAGCCCUCUGGCUAUGGACAUUCGAAGCACUCCUUUUGUAAGUCCUAAGGCUGGAGGGGCUGGAUUCCUGCUUGAUCCUCCUCGGCACAAACGCAUCGCUCUUGAGCUCAAACUCGGAGAAAACCGAUGAAACAUCGCGAUUCCUGCGAUGCGCCUCACGAGAAAAUGAGUGCAUCAGACAAGAAAGGAAACUCACUGUGCAGGAGGAGGCGCGCCAUCGCCAGAAAACUCCGCCAUUAGAAUUAAUCGAAGAAACCUAAAACCCUGCGAUAUGUUCCAUCAAAACCGCAGGAAUGUAAAAUAAAAUUGCUGAUGCUAUUGACCAGUCAACGAAAAUUAUUGACCACAUGUCCAUUGACCGUGACCAGUCAACGAUGGCCGAUGGGUCAACGGUCCGAAAACUCUUUAAAAUUUGCUAUCAGUACAAGCAUAUAGCAAUUCUUUCAUAAAAACUAACUUGGUAACUAGAAUGAUUGAGUCACUUCAUGAUUAGUAAAGAGAAUCACUGAGGUGCUCCCCUGGGUCCGUCAGAUUUUACUUCUUUUGCAAUGUCUUGGAUUGAACCGGGGACCUCUACUGUGUGAGCCACCCAAGCUCAUGAAACCUAGCUUCACUUUGUAUCUCCAGUAUUCCUUUCUUGAUCAUGGCUUGGAAGGCAUACGCUGAAAGUCUCCUUCCAAUUCACAAUUGCUGAUGAAGGUUGUGCCCAAGAUCUAGGCACCCUGCACGAAAUGCAAAGAUAAGAUUGUAUCUCAGAUCUAUUACAACGUCUCAGGUACGUAAUUUCGUCCAAGAGAAAUCUCUUCAUGACAAUAGAGCUGUUUCAAACUAUACGCUUAUAUUCUGGAAGUGGAUGAUCCACACUACACAUUCACUGACGAUUUUAAAAAAAUCAUAAAGAAGAAGAAGAAGAGGAGUUCGAAUCAGGAGAUUUCUGAGCCAAACAAGGAUAAACAUGGCACCUACUGUUGCUGCUCUUCUAGUGGUCUGAAGCUUGACCAUUUCUAGAAGUUCUACGUUUUUUCACUUGCCAGCUUAAUCUUAUUCCCUUUUCUAUUUUUCUUUUUAGAGUCUCGACAAAGCCAAUGUGGCCGAUGAAUUCUCGGCCAGCUCCAUCUGACAGCCUGGUCGCUCGUCUCGUGAGGAAAGGUCUUCCAUAACAACUUUAUGAAUUCUUGACAUGACAUUUUUUUAAGUUGUCGUCCACCUUGCCUCUGACUCCUUGUAGUACCGUUGGACACAAUCUCACAAGUUCAUGUCAAAGUCAAUGCUUGUAAACAGGGACUUGACUUGAAUAGUGCCUAUAGCCAAACUUGCAUUGCUUUUUAUGAAGCUUUUACGAUUCCCCGGAAUGAUUCCUUCAUGCAGGCGUAACAUCCUUGAAAUUUAAUCGCAACGAUGGGAACGACCAUUUCAACGUAGCACUCGCGUGCUCGGGAUGUUAGAUGGACAAUCCUAUUGCAAGAAAUUUUUGAUGAAAGAAAACGAAUGAUCUGGUGCUCUACGUUAAACCCUCGUUCGAAAUUUAUUACAAGGAAAACAGAGAGGAGACAUCGAUCAUCUCAUCCACAACGAAAACUCUUUGUGAUCAGCAAUCAGUCCCGAAUUCUAGCAGCAGCAGCAAGAGCAGCAGCAGCAGCAAUCGUCCUUUGGCUUCGGCUUGGGCUUUUCCACCUUGAUCUCCUGGAAGGAUUCCACAGAAAUACACUUGCGUUUCUUCUCGGUGGCCUUGAGGAUGUCGUCCACCUUGAAAUCACCCGUGAAGGUGUAAAAGGGAUCGUUAACCUCCACUUUCUUCACACCUGCAAGAGCACGAAGAUCUCUUGAUCAGCGAUCAAAAUUUGGGAGAAUUUGCGGAAAUCUACACUCACCGGAGACGUCGUGAUAGAUCUGAGACAUAAUCUUGUCCUUGCAUUUGUUGCAAGAGUCCACUUUCAAGACAACCUGCAGCACAGAGCUCGAGAUCAAACAAGGCUCAACGAAAUCAGCCAGACGCAAUGCUCACCUUCCAAGCCAUCUUGAUUGUCUACGAAUUUGCAGAUGACAGUUGUGAAAUUCGCAGCUUUGACAAGCUUGAGACGCUAGAUACCGGAAGACGGAGAAGCGGAAGAGAAGAGGGCCCUGCUGCUGACUGGGGAGACGUCAUCAAUUUAAGCAGUCGGAUGGAAUGCUUUCCACGGUUUACGCCGUGUGGAAGCCGGUCUUUGUAUGUACGAUGAAUCCCGCGCACGUUCGUAAAAAGAAAACUUUUUUUUAUUAUAAUAUCGAGACAUAGAAUCCAUUUGGCGCCAAAGCCCUAAUUUUUGGAACAGAAAUGUAGAUUUGAACUUGAUGGUCUCGCUGGCGUGCAAGAGCUGGCGCGCUCACACCGGCGUGGAGCUCCACUUCUGCGAUUGCGUCCACGACGCCAUCUCCAGCGUCAUCGCGUGCCUCCGCAAGGUCUGUUUAGAAGCAAACAUGAGGUUUGUAUACAGACAAAAAGUUGUAAGAGUUAACCUCUUUCGAGUUUUCGUCGAAUCCCUUUGGCAUGACCUCCAAUGGCUCCAGUCGGUGUAAUCGUUGUUGACGACGUGGAAGUAUCCAUGUCGGCAUCUACAAAAGCAGAAGAAGAAGACGAAAUCCUGUUCGAACAGGGCAAUGCAAGUUUACAAUCACUUUGGACAGCAUCCUUUUUCUUUCUUAGCUCACAGCAGCACGACAUUCUGAUCUGCGAUCUACGAGAUCCGAGCAACCCUACGUCGCGGCGCGGAAUGGAGCGUACUUCAUCACAUCUGGAGCUGGAUCCGGGUCGGUCUAGGGCAAAGCCUCGAGCCUGGCCGCCAAGCCCGCGGCCUACGUCAGUAGCACUUCUCUGCGGCACAGAUUCCAUGCUGACUAGUGAUUAUCAUCGCCAGUCGUCAUCAGCAGCUGUAUAGCAUUACUGGACUGCGGACUAAUUAUUAUCCCUCUUAAUUAUUUGAAGGUCUCGGAAGGAAUAAGCUGGUGCAAUAUCAUUUGAAGGAUGGUUACAUGAGAGAGAGAGAGAGAGAGAGAGAGAGAGAGAGAGAGAGAGCUCCAUCUCUCUCCUCCAUCUCCAUGGAAGAAAGAAGAAGGAAAGUCUGGCAACCUCGGCCGGGAAUGGAUGAAAACUGGAAAGAGUUCUCUAGCCCUGACACGGAAGCGUUCUCUCCAUUUAUGAAACAAAGAAAGAAGUUGUACCUUUGGAAGUUUUGCUUGAUCGUAUCCUGAAAAACUUCUUAGCUCUUAAUAGAUCAUAUGUGGAUAAAAGAUAUAAUGGAAUAGUGCUAGUUGCUGCAACACAAUGUGCAGCAAUUUAUUUUGUGUUGCUGAUUAGGCAAAUGGGAGAGUUUGAGAAUAUUCACAACAUAUUAUUAUUCUAUAAAUGUGAUAACAUAUUACUAUUUAACAUUUAUUCCUUGGAUGCUUUAUUUCGUUAAAGUGGGACUUUUCAUUAUCCCACUUAUGGUGUGUGGCCACAUGCCAUUUUUAUAACAACAAUAAAAAAUUAAAGUUUUAACUUUAUAAUUUAUAAAUUAAAAACUUUUCAUAUGAUUUUGUGUUAUAAUAUUGUGAAAUAUAAAAAAAUAAAUUAAAAAACUGAUAGAAAUAUUAAUAAAUAUUAAUUAAGUACUAGGAAAUGGCAUGUGGACACAUGCUAAUUAAUGUCCCACUUUACUGAAUAAGUCCCACUUUAACGAAAUAAAACAUUUGGAGAAAUUACAUGGUUAACUAAACUAAAGAUAAGGUAGUACCAACUCGAGGAACACCCAAUUGCUGGUCUGACGAAUGAGCCUAGCAGCUCAUCUAGACAAAAAGUGGGGUGAAUCUAGUAGGCUAGGGCAUUGAGAUGGAACAGCUGUUUGCAGGGCAGAAAUGUGCUCAAGGACUUGUAUACGUAUGUGGAUCCAUCAUACACGUGGUGCUCUCUCUCCAGGAGUGCAGAUGAAAGAUAUGUGGAUUAUAUUGCCCAGCUCCUGUUCAACGAUCUGCUGCCUCCACCUUAAUUGUCUUGGGAAAUCAUCGCAACUGAGACACUAGAUACCGAGUCGGAGAGACGGAGACCAGAGAGGGCAAGCCGUACAUACUUGGGGCGGAAGAUGAACUGCUGGUUCUAGAUUAAUCAUAGAUUAAUAUAAGCAAUUUGAAUUAUAUCCCAGCAAGCUACAUACGGCAACUCGCAUUACUUUUUCGAAGCUUCUACGAUUCCCCGCUGAUUCCUUUAUGCAGGCUUUGUGUGUCAACAUCCUUGAAAUUUAAACAUUUCCGCUCCCCCAAAGAUGGGAAGAACCAUUUCAACGUAGCACUCGCAUGCUCUGGAUGUUAGAAUCUCAAUCCUAUUGCAACAAAAAUUUGGUGAAAGACACCGAAUGAUCAGGUGCUCUACGUUAAACCCUCGUUCGAACUUGAUUACAAGGAAAACAGAGAGGAGAGAUCGAUCAUCUCAUCCACAACAAAACCUAUGUAUGAUCAGCAAUCAGUCCCGAAUUCUAGCAGCAGGAGCAAGAGCAGCAGCAGCAGCAAUCGUCCUUUGGCUUCGGCUUGGGCUUUUCCACCUUGAUCUCAUGGACGGAUUCCACAGAAAUACACUUGCGUUUCUUCUCGGUGGCCUUGAGGAUGUCGUCCACCUUGAAAUCACCCGUGAAGGUGUAAAGGGGAUCUUUAACCUCCACUUUCUUCACACCUGCAAGAGCACGAAGAUCUCUUGAUCAGCGAUCAAAAUUUGGGAGAAUUUGCGGAAAUAUACACUCACCGGAGACGCUGUGAUAGAUCUGAGACAUCAUCUUGUCCUUGCAUUUGUUGCAAGAGUCCACUUUCAAGACAACCUGGAGCACAGAGCUCGAGAUCAAACAAGGCUCAACGAAAUCAGCCAGACGCAAUGCUCACCUUCCAAGCCAUCUUGAUUGUCUACGAAUUUGCAGAUGACAGUUGUGAAAUUCGCAGCUUUGACAAGCUUGAGACACUAGAUACCGGAGGACGGAGAAGCGGAAGAGAAGAGGGCCCUGCUGCUGACUGGGGAGACGUCAUGAAUUUAUAUCCGAGCAGCAGUCGUUCCACUCCGUUUACGCAGAAAGUUUCCCGUAGGAAUUGCCGUGUGGAAGCCGUGUUUGUAAUCCCGCGCACGUUCGUAAAAAGAAAACGUUUUUUUAUUAUAAUAUUUUUUAUAUCGAGACCUAGAAUCCAUUUGGCGCCAAAGCCCUAAUUUUUUGAACAGAAAUGUAGGGUUUCAUCUUGAUGGUCCCUGGCGCGCUCACACCGCCUGGAUCGGCACGCUCGUCGUGCGAUGGAAGAUCGCAGGGCGUCAUGAUCCAGAAGGAGCGCCGCCGAAUCUGUGGCAAGCACGGCGUGGAGCCCCACUUCUGCGAUUGCGUCCACGACGCCAUCUUCAUCGCGUGCCUUCGCAAGGUCUGGUAACUGGAUCUUUGCGAGCUUCGAAUUCGCGGAUGGAUUAGAGUACCUCUCCUCGGGGAUGCCAGCGAGUUCCAGCGGCGUUUUGGAGAAUCUCUUCACGCCGUCCAUGCAAGAAACCGCUCAAGGGGUUCCUGCAAGCGCUUGGCGGAAUGCGCGAUUGGAUUCGGCCGCAUGGUGUAAGACUCGAUCUUUGGGUCCGUCCAACAACAUCUGGCACGCUCGCUCGCUCCACUGAUGGUCUCAUCGACGCCAUCAUGGCUUCCACGACAAGGUGAGUGCUCUGCUCUCUCUUUUCUCCAAAGUUUUCCUUGUUUACAGCAUUUCCCCGGAACAGUUACGAUACCAGAAAUCUUCGAGCGAACACACAGGAACACAUAAAGAAAGCAAUCACCCAAACAAUCUGGCGAGCAAAGACGCAAGAACACAUCAAGAAAAAAACCACCCAUGCAAGAACCCAGUUUUAUUCACGCUAUUUGCAGGCUCAGAUCUCCAGUUCCAGCUCUUCCAGAUGGAUUCCUCCGUGCACUCUCGCUUUGUUAUCUGUUUAGAAGCAAACACGAGGUUUGUAUACAGACAAAAAGUUGUAAGAGUUAACCUCUUUCGAGUUUUCGUUGAAUCCCGCAAAGAAUUUAUUGCCUUUGGCGUUACCUCCAAUGGCUCCAGUCGGUGUAAUCGUUGUUGACGACGUGGAAGUAUCCAUGUCGGCAUCUACAAAAGCAGAAGAAGAAGACGAAAUCCUGUUCGAACGGGGCAAUACAAGUUUACGAUCACUUUGGACAGCAUCCUUUUUCUUUCUUAGCUCACAGCAGCACGACAUUCUGAUCUGCGAUCUACGAGAUCCGAGCAACCCUACGUCGCGGCGCGGAAUGGAGCGUACUUCAUCACAUCUGGAGCUGGAUCCGGAAGGAAUAAGCGAGCGUGUUCCAUCGCUAGCUCCAUCUCUCUCCUCCAUCUCAAUGGAAGAAAGAAGAAGGAAAGUCUGGCAACCUCCGCCGGGAAUGGAUGAACACUGGAAAGAGUUCUCUAGCCCUGGCACGGAAGCGUUCUCUCCAUUUAUGAAACAAAGAAAGAAGUUGUACCUCUGGAAGUUUUGCUUGAUAGUAUCCUGAAGAACUUCUUAGCUCUUGCUUCCCUUGACAUGCCUAAACGCUGCUUGACACAAGUUAGUAAUGAAGCAGUCGCCACAGCAAGGCCAAGCGGAUUGCAAAUGGUCUGACCAAAUCCAUGCAUGAAAAAAACAUGGAACAAAAUGGAUUGAUCGGAACCCAUUCUUCCCCCGGCAACCACGACUCUAGCGAGAUCCACGUCUCCUCUGGAGUUUUCGUGUCCUUUCAAAGCAAACAAGUAUGGAUCACAGUAUAGAGAGAACUUUGCUGGAAGAAACAACGUACGAAGCGUUUUUUUGGAUGUUGAUUUUGGAUAUGAUACGCAUUCCAGUCGGUUUGUAAUCCGGUGGACGUGAGUGUCGACACAAAUGCAUGCACGCUCUCCACGUUCAUCACCUACAUAAAGUUUUGGAAGGCAAAAUGAUUUAUAAAUAAAAUAUAAAUGAGACAAAACAGAUAUAAAGCUAUAAUAUAUAAAUAAAAAAUACAUAUAACUCAAUAUAUUAUUCUAAAUGAACAAAUAAACGAACACAACGAAAAAAUAAUAUAGUAUACACAAGGUACAACAUGAAUAUGGAAAUUCCUGUCCUACAAAUUUCAGCUUACCAAAUAACACAAGAAAAAUACAAAUAGUAUAUAAAAUAUUACAUUUAAAAAAGAAAAUAGCAAUUGAAAUAACACAAAAAAUAGCAACGGAAAAUGGACUAGUAAAUGGAGCAGAUGGAGUAUUAUAAAAUGUAACCCAUAUCAAAGAAGAAAACAUAAUAGAUAGAAUCCCCAAAUAUAGAAACAGGUGAAAAAACAAAAGCUAAAGAGUAAAUAAAAAUAAUUUUAAAAAACAAGAUACCAAUAAGAAAAGUAACAAGAAUAAUAAAUAUUGCUAAAAUCCAAAAUUAUGUUUUAAACAGAACCCACCAUAUGUAGGAAGAAUAAUACACAGAGCUUAAGGAUCAACAGUAAAACAAUUAGAAUAUGACCUGUAUAAAACAAAAUAUCAAAGACAAGCAUAUAUAACAUUAUCAAGAGCACAAACAUUAGAGGUAAUAAAGAUGCAGCUAAAGACAUAAUAAGAAUGACAACAGAAGCACCAUGGCAAAUUAAUUUAAUAGAUUUACAAAAAGAGAAAAAAUCUAACCGAACUAAUACAAGUUUUAAAUAUAACAUCUGUUACAGCAUAUCAAGAAGAUAUAAAGAGUGUUUCAAAAUUAUUAACAUUAAAUAUAAUGUUUAUAUAUAUAUAUAUAUAUAUAUAUAUAUGAAAACCCAUAUAGCAAUAUUUCAUACAAAUGACUAUAAAUCAGAAAAAGUAAAACAUUUAAAAACAGAAAAAAUGGCAAUGUCAUAUAUAUCACUAGUGAAAAAUAAUAAAUAAAUACAAAUACUAAAUUUACAUAGAAAACCUGGAACAAUUAUAUAAAUAUUUAUAAAAUAACUACAUAUGUAUAUAUAUAUAAAAUAAUUACAGGAAAUUUCAAUAUUGACUAUCAAAAUGAAGAAGCAAAACCAAUGGAGAUAUAUAUAAAUAAUAAAAGACAAUACACAUUAUAAGAAACUAAUAGAUCAUAUGUGGAUAAAAGAUAUAAUGAAGUAGUACCAGCAUACUGGACAGAUCAAAACAAAUUAUAUAGUAAAAAAUAUUUAAAAAAAAAAAAACAAAACAAGCAUUGCUGCAACACAAUGUACAGCAAUUUAUUUUGUGUUGCUGAUUACGCAAACUGUUAUAAAUGGGAGAGUUUGAGAAUAUUCACAAAAUAUUAUUAUUCUAUAGCGGGGAUUUAAUGUGCUAGGGCUGGCGGCCGGACGAGGCCGUGAUCUGCAACAUAAUUGAAUGUUUAUAAUGUUAAACCUUUUUACUAUGUAACAUUUAUUCCUUGGAGAAACUACAUGGUUAACUAAACCAAAGAUAACUGGUCAUCUAGCACCAACUUGAGGAACACCCAAUUGCUGGUCUGACGAAUGAGCCUAGCAGCUCAUCUAGACAAAAGUGGGAUGAAUCUAGUUGCCAUAAAACUUAGGCCAGGGCAUUGAGAUGGAACAGCUGUUUGCAGGGUGACAGCCCAACAGUGGAAAGAAGAGUGGGAUGAGGGAUCCUUGUCCUCGCAGUUGAGCAAAAACUGGAUGUAUGCGGAUCCAUCAUACACGUGGUGCUCUCUCUCCAGGAGUGCAGAUGAAAGGUAUGUGGAUUAUAUUGCCCAGCUCCUGUUCGACGAUCUGCUGCCUCCACCUUAAUUGUCUUGGGAAAUCACAGCUUUGAUAGCAGCUGAGACACUAGAUAGACGGAGAGCGGAGAGGGCAAAGCCGUACAUACUUGGAGCGGAAGAUGGACUGGUGGUUCUAUAUUAAUCAUAGAUUAAUAUAAGUAAUUUGAAUUAUAUCCAAAUCUGAACAAACCAUAAACCUGUAGACCAAGUCAAUGUUUUGAACGAGGAUUUGACUUGACCAUUGAAUAGUCAAGCACGUUCACACAGGUUAGCAAGCUACGUACAGCACGCAUUACUUUUUUGAAGCUUCUAUGAUUCUCCCACUGAUUCCUUCAUGCAGGCUUUGUGUGUCAACAUCCUUGAAAUUUAAACAUUUCCGCUCCCGCAAAGAUGGGAAGGACCAUUUCAACGUAGCACUCGCGUGCUCUGGAUGUUAGAUUGACAAUCUCAAUCCUAUUGCAACAAAAACUUGGUGAAAGAAACCGAAACCCCUCGUUCGAUUUGAUUAGAACUUACAUGAGAGGAGAGAUUGAUCAUCUCAUCCACAACAAAACCUCUUUAUGAUCAGUAAUCAGUCACGAAUUCUAGCAGCAGCAGCAAGAGCAGCGGCAGCAGCAGCAAUCGUCCUUUGGCUUGGGCUUUUCCACCUUGAUCUCCUGGACGGAUUCCACAGAAAUACACUUGCGUUUCUUCUCGGUGGCCUUGAGGAUGUCGUCCACCUUGAAAUCACCCGUGAAGGUGUAAAGGGGAUCGUUAACCUCCACUUUCUUCACACCUGCAAGAGAAGAUCUCUUGAUCAGCGAUCAAAAUUUGGGAGAAUUUGCGGAAAUCCACACUCACCGGAGACGCCGUGAUAGAUCUGAGACAUCAUCCUGUCCUUGCAUUUGUUGCAAGAGUCCACUUUCAAGACAACCUGCAGCACAGGGCUCGAGAUCAAACAAGGCUCAACGAAAUCAGAGACGCAAUGCUCACCUUCCAAGCCAUCUUGAUUGUCUACGAAUUUGCAGAUCACAGUUGUGAAAUUCGCAGCUUUGACAAGCUUGAGACACUAGAUACGGAAUGAAGAGGGCCCUGCUGCUGACUGGGGAGACGUCAUGAAUUUAUAUCCGAG
rnacentral:lncRNA from 1 species